CCUUGCAAGUAUAUGCGUUCAACAUGUAUGAUAAUACACAAUUUUAUGUCAUAUGAUCGAUAUUUGAUCAUUGUUUUAGCUCUUAUGAACUAUAUAUAUAUUUGUAUAUAUGUUUUAAUAAAAAGAAAAUAGAAGACAAAAAUAUAUAAAGAAAAUAAUAAAUAAUGUAAUCAAUUAUUAUUUAAUUGGAAAGUUUAGAGAGAAUAAAUAUAAUAUUUUCUUUUGUAUAAUUAUUGUCCUUAAUAGUCAUUGUGUAUGAGGAUAUAUAUGUCAUUUAAUAAUUCACAAUAGAGUGAGGCCUAGUGAGCAAAUAUGGAGGUCUCAAUAGCCGCACUCUAUGAACAAACUGACACGACCCACCCCAAAUUUCACCCUGAAACCCAGAGUAAGUCGUGCGGGGACCAACUCCAAGGAAAAUUUUACCGAAAAAUCGGCAUAACCUCCCUUGAAAAUGGACAACCCUUCCUAAUAAUACCUGCAAACACUUCUGAAAAUUUAAAUCCAACCUUAAACUCCUGGAGCCUCCGUGCUCCCCAAAUCACAACACCACCCAAAUUAUUUACUAAUCUAAACAAAUCUCAUAUCCAACCAUUUAUAGGUUCAGAGCAACUCUAACAGGAAGAAAGAAAACAUAAUAAAUUAACAAGCGGAAGCUAUAUGAUGAUUAUGCCUCAUCCCCAUGUACACCCGACCUCAACUAUGCAAUCCUGCAAACUGGGCAUUUUUAAAACGAAGAGCCCAGGGGAAAACAUUUGAAACACGUUAGAGUGAGUGGACAAAAACAAAUUAACGAAUAAAAUAUUUAUGUUUCCCCAAAUCAAUUUCUAAGAAAAAUCGAAUGCAUGCUGCAAGCGAUAAAACUUUUAUCUCAUAAAUAUCGAGCUUCUCAGGCUCUAUAAUAUAUGUAUGUAUUUACACACGUCCAUACUCCCUAUAUAAAUUCAUGGGUCUAUAUAGGGCUACUACGCUCGCGUCCAAAGCUCACGUCACGCCUUAAUGCGGUGCUACACUACGCCAUUAAGGUGGACAGACGGGUGUAUAAAUAUGUGCCCAUACCCCCUAUAUGAAUUAAACACUCAUAUAAGGCUACUACGCUCGCGUCCAACGCUCACGUCACACCAUAAUGCGGCUAUAUGCUACGUCAUUAAGGUGGACAGACACAUAUGGCUAGCUAGCAUUUUAUAUACAUACUCUCUCUCAUAAAUACAUAUUUAUAUCCACUGAAAAUCCCAUUUUCGGUAACUCUCCAAGAGAAAUAAGAUUGUCAAAAAUUAAAAUGACGUCAAAAUGCUCCAUGACAUUAAUUGUUCAUUCAUGAACCAUAGCAUGCAUAUUAUUUAAAACAAAAGUCCACUCACAACUCUAGGCAUAAACCCGACGAAAUCCAAACCGCCACUCCAGAGAGGUUUCCUCGAACCCUGGCACAAAUAUAAAAUUAAUUUCCCAACUAAAACUCCAAUAUUUAAACAAAAUAGGCAAAAUUAACCAAGAGCCAUAACUACGCUCAUCAUUGCCUAACUUCGAUAUUCUUAAAUCGAAACGAUCCGAACUUAAAUAUCAUACUCAGCAGCCGUAAUUACAACCUCCCCAAAAAUACGACUUAAAUCCUACGGCCGGAUUCUACAUUAAUUAACUGCCAAAAAUACCACACUUCGGAAAUUCAUAAACCUAUCCAAAACUCAUCCAAAAAUUCCAUAACUCACUUCAACAAACUCCCCUUAAUAUUCUAAAUUUAAAACCCAAAAAAUCUUCCAAACAGUGGCGGCACCGGCGGCAGCUCCGCGGGCAGCGGCGGCCGGAGGUCAAUUCCGGCGACCUCCGAUUCCUAUGAAAUUUUGACAGCAUCUUCCUCUCAUCAUGCUCUACAACUUUCCUAACUAGCACAAACCCAAAAUCCAAGCCUAACUAGGUCAAACGAGCAAAAACAUCUAAAACACCCUAGAACUUCCACCUCUAAUUUCUCCUUACCUGAAGCGAACCGGAGUGAGCCUUUUUAGGGCAAGGUAGCUGGGUUGGAGACCUUCAAAACCGUACCAAGCUUGCCCGGAUUGGUGGCCGGAGGAGGGAGUUCCGGCGAAGUGAAGCUUUGGACAGUCGGACCUUUCAGGUGGCAUCGCUCUCUCACGGCGGAGCUAGGGCUCCUCUCACCGGUCCAGGGAGGUUGCUGGGUUGGAGGUCGACCGAACGGGACCGGUGCGGCGGUGGUUGGUGGCCGGACGGCGGCGGGAGGACGGCUGGAAAACCAGGCAGCGGGAGGAGCUCGGGGAGAGAGAAAACUGGGAAGAAAAAAAAAGAGAGAGGAGAAAAUGGCUUUGGGCCUCCUCCCCCAAAACCGGUCCAACUUAAUACCCAUUUAAAACAAACCCAACUCCAAAAAUAAAACACCCCGAAAAAUAAUACCCGAAUAAAAAUUACCUUUUACUAGCUAAAAUUUACCAUUUUUAUCGUCGUCAUAUUUUCCUCCUACGAAUAAUCCUCCGAGCAUAACCGUCCCCGAAACCCCUCUAGGGACCAAUUAAACUAUAACUUCAAUGACGGAGACGGUAAAAUUCUUAUUAUAACCAAGCUAGUAAAUAAGGUAAAAAUUUACUGGUCGGGAUGUGACACAAACAACCAUAAUAUCAUUUCUGUACAUACCGUUAAGUUUUCCUUAAUGGUGUCAAAUACAUAAGGAUAAAAUGGUAUUUUGACCCUGAAACCCUAUUUCUACCCUAUAUUCAUUCAUUUUGAUAUAAAAGUUUUACCUUAAGGAUGUCCAGAUAAUGUAUGUAUUUUAAACAAUGUUCCUUUUUCUUUUUUUACAAUAACAUUCGGUUACAUAAUUUUUUUUUCUAUUUAGGGCUGGGCAUAAAUCCCGACAAAGAAGAAAAAAACCGGCAAACCCGACCCAGACCGGUCGGUCCAGGCCGGGCUUUUUCCCAGUCCUUGUUUGCAUUUUUGCCGGUCUGGUCCUAGUUUCUGUCGGUCCGAGCCCAGUCCUUGAAAUUUUUAAGUCUACAGCCCGAAAGCCUGAGUUUUCCUAUGAUUAGCUAUUUCUAUGGUUCUGUAACAUCUUGGAAUUUCAAAUUUCUAUUUUUAAAAGAAAAAUUAUUUUCGAGCUAUUUUUUUAUUUCGAUUUAUAUUAUUUUUCAAUUUCUUUGUGGCUUUUGAAAAUUAUUCAAAUUUUUGGUUUGUCAAAAUUUAUCUUUCGAGCCAUAGGAUUAAACUAUACGUCGUUACGAGUUUGUAGGAUUUUUCAGAGCAUUGUUUGGACAUCAAAGCUAUUUUUAAUGAUUUUUAAAAGUUGGUAUUAUCUAAAAAUUUAAUUAAAAAUAGAAUAUUUGUUGGCAUGAUCUGGGUCGUCAGAUCUUUUUAACCGUCUAAUCUAGGCCGUUGGAUUGGAGUAUAUAUAAUUUGGAUUAGCUUGGAUUGCAUCAGAACACAGCCUAGACCCAUUUUGGUCUCGAGCUGCUCUGCAGCGACUGAGCUCGGAGGCGUCGUUCGUCAUCCGGCCAUCUCCCAGCGCAAGACCGGCGUUCACAGGUCCGUCUCGGCGUCCCCGACCUCCUUGUGAUUCCAGCUUGAAGAGUGGAGCUCCGGUGAGAGAGAAAAGGAGGAGAGAAGGCGAUUGUGUUUCCGAUCCCGACCACGACGGCGAGCGUGAAUGGUACUGGUAGUCUCAUCUCGUCCUCCCCAUCCUCCCUGUGAUCUUACUUUCAGCAAAGGAGCUCCGGUGAAGGAGAAUCGAAGGAGAGAAGCUUCUGAGUUUUCCGGCGAGGGUUCAGUGUUUUCCGGCGAAGUUGUGUUCGACUCAGGUAUCAAUCUUCAUCUACUCAUCGAGCUCUACCUCUUUGUAUAAUUGAAAUCGUGUUUGGUUGAGAGAUGAAGAAGUUGGGUUUAUGGCAGCGGGUGACCGCCGUGUGUACCAUUGUGCACGGCGGUGGUGGAGGCGUUUCUAUUGUUUUCUGGUUUUGAAUUUGUAUGCUAGAGUUGGAUUGAUGAUUAGUAUGUUGUCUGGAAUUAUUGAAAUUGUAGAAUUGGAGGUAGAGGGCGGAGUUGCAGGUUGUUCGGGUUUACUGCAAGUUUUGGUGAUUUUGGAGUUCAUACUUAUGAGCUGGUUCGAUAUAUGGUAUAAUGGAGUUGUGUUUUCAUCAUUGCCGAAGUAAUUGAGGGACUAGUGAUUGGAAUACAAUUUGGAGAUGAAUCAAGAGGUGGGAGAUUUGGACGACCUAUGUAUGUGUUGGUUAGUAAGAACAAGAAAGUCUUGCUACUACCGUGGAGUUGUGCGACAAUGCAGGAAAGUUACUAACUUUGGAAUUAUUGUUUAUUUGGCUACUGUAAAUGCAAGUUGAAUGAGCUCAGAGGUUAUAAACGUAUUAAAGGUAGGGAUUUAUACAAAGUGUGGGUGUCCAUAGCAAUUUGAAGGAUGGAAUGGAAGAAUUAAUUGGACACUUGUUUUUGGGUGUCCUUAGUAGAUUUCUGAAUUCGGUGUUUAAAAUGAUUCGUCGACAUUCUUGGAAUAAGAGUUCGAUACGAGGAUUUGAGGGCACUUUGCAGUUCUAGAAGCAGAAGGAUAAAGAUUUCAGAAUGCGUGUCGCAGAGAUACUAAUUUUAGUUAGCGUUGGAACUAGCGCUCGGAUUCCAGGUAAGGUUUUUCUCGGGGAACCUUCCUUAAAUUGAUAAUUAAUUUAUAAUUGAAAUGAGUCCAUUGAGUGAUUAACUCUUGGUUGUUAUUGUUUUCGAUAAAAGUAUAUGUAAUCGGUGAUUUAUAUAAUUAAUGUUAUUGCUUUCCAUAAAAACAUGUGUUGGAUGAUAUAUUAUGAAUAUUGAUAUUUGUUGCAUUCAUAAUGCAUUGUGAGGAAUUGUGAGAUUAGUGAGAUUAAUGAUAGUGGAGAAGAUGAGAAUGAGAUCGAGAAAAGAUACAUUUUGUGUAGUUGAGUUUCCUUAUGGGUUGUCCAUGAAUCCAUGUCAGCCCAUAAGUGUCACACCCUGAAUUUUGGAUGACUAAAAAAUCCAAAUUCAAGGCAUGAAAACUAAAAAGAAAAACAACUUUAUAAUAUUUUAGUUUUACAACUUGUGAAAGAAUAAAUUGGAUAAGGUAAAACCUCCCUCAAUACUCACAAAAUCUAGAAAGUAAACACAAGGAACAAAGCCUAACUGGCGCAGCCUCAACUCUGUUAAUCUUGACCUGCAAAAUCAACUUCUACCAAACUGUCACACCUCGAAUUUUGGAUGACUAAAAAAUCCGAAUUCAAGGCAUGAAAACUAAAAAGAAAAACAACUUUACAACAUUUUAGUUUUACAACUUGUGAAAGAAUAAAUUGGAUAAGGUAAAACCUCCCUCAAUACUCACAAAAUCUAGAAAAUAAACACAAGGAACAAAGCCUAACUAGCGCAGCCUCAACUCUGCUAAUCUUGACCUGCAAAAUCAACCUCUACACCAUGGAUUGGUGCACCGGGUUGUAAACAACAAACCCGGUAAGCUUUAAAAGCUCGUAUGAGUAAAUCUACAACAACAGACUCAACCCAUCAACACAUAAGAUAAAAUCAAGCGUUCAUGCAUUAAAAAAAUAAAUUCAGGAAAACACUUACAUGCAAGAGAAAAUCAAAGAAGAAAUUAAGAAAACACAACAAUUCACAAUCACUCAAAAUCAUAAAUAAAUCCUGUAAAAAGAGUAGUUCAGGAAGUACUUAAAAUAAGAAAAUUAAAUGACAUCAUAUAAAACAUCACCCAAUCAUUUCUCUACUCUUACUUAUGGGUUCGUCAACGCAUAGUCGUCCCCUAUAAGUAACGAGACAAACACGUACUCAUAGGUUCGUCAACACAAGUCAUCCCCUAUGAAGUACCGACAGACUGGAGCUCUAUACUGGCCGUAACCAAUCAUCCGGUCAAGACUUGGUUCCCGGUCCACUACGAAGGCUCCUAAUCUAAUGUACACCAUCACCAUUAAGGCACACAUUCACAACUAAUGCACAUAAUUACCACUAAGGCACCAUUCCGCAACGAAUGCACUCACUCACCACUAAGACACAUUCUAUUACUCUCACGUCAUAACACUUAUCAAAUCACAAAAUAAUAAUAUCAUCAUAACCGUAACCAAUCACCCGAUUAAAGGCUUGGAACCCGGUUUGACUAAUUAAAUAACAAUUCUACGUCACAUUAUCACAUUAUCAUAACAUGCCUUUCACACAUAAACACGUGGAUAUAAAUAUUUAAACAAGAAUAAUCUUCCGACUCUAAUUAUGACUCAUGAUCGAAAGUCCUUUUAAAAGAUUAUAUUAUUAACAGAAAACUUGUUUUCACUUACCAUAAGCCGUUUACAAUCAAACUUAUUUAUAUUUAAAAACAAAAUCAUUUUCUUUCAAGGACAACUUCACAAUCAUCAUCAAAAUCAUCAUCAUAAUCAUCGUCAUAAUCAUUAUCAUCAUAUCAUUAACAUUUCCAUCAACAUUAUCAUUAAUCUCAUCAUCAUCAUAAUCGUUAUCAUAACAAUUAUCAUCAUCAUCAUCAUCAUCAUAAUCAACAUCACAAUCAUCAUCAUAAUCGUUAUCAUAACAAUCAUCAUCAUCAUCAUCAUCAUCAUCAUCAUAAUCAACAUCACAAUCAUCAUCAUAAUCAUCAUCAUAAUCAUUAUCAAAAUCAACAUCACAAUCAUCAUCAAAAUCAUUAUCAUAAUCAAAAUAACUAGGUCACAAAGUGGACCUUAGUGAGAUUUUACUCACCUUAACUCCCGCUGCGUCUUCAUAAACACAAACGCAAGCGUCUAGCUCAAAAGCAAACUCCACAAGUUACCCUAUUUAACACAAACAUUAACCUUAGUAACCAAACGAACUAAGAGUAACAUUUGCCCUCUUAACCCAUAACUAAAAUCUGAAGGUUUGCCUAAAGGAGGGCAACUCUCCUUCAAGACCUCCCAAGGUCCUCGAUCACCCAAAACUAAACCUCCUACAAUUGCCAAAAACGGCUCCUACAUUUGAAAUCACAAAAUCAUCACACCUUAUCGAAAACAACUCUAACAUUAAGCAUUACAAGAUCUUAACCUAGUCUUAUAAUAUAUCAACGUGCUCACAACAACAAGAACUAGCUAACCCUUGCAACUAAACCUACACAUCCUGCCGAACGCGCCGCGAGUGGUCCCCACGCGCCACCCUACCAACCUCAAAAUCCCAACAAACUUCCAACAGCAAACUUGUAGAUUGAAGCAAGGGAAGCAUCCUUUAUACUUGGAGGUCCAACCAGUUCGGCCGGAAUCGGCCGGAAAACAACAAAAACUCGCCGGAAAGUUUGGAAUCCACCACCGCCACUCUCCGCCGUGAGUCGAGCUUGAAGGCCACUCGAUGUCAAACCAAGACACCAAGGAGCUCCUAUCCCGACCGGUUUCAAGCCCCGUCGCCGUCGUACACGGCUGGAAAAACUCUUGGGUUGAAGUCGGAUCCGCCAACCUCAUUGUGGCGUUCGAUUCUUGCAAUUCGACCCGAGUCGCUCUCACCCACCUACACAGGGAGGAUCACGCCGAGGAGAGGAAGAAAACUUGACCGGUGUCGUCGUCUCGGUCGGCCGGAAAAGUCAGGUCGGGUCGUCCGGGUCCGGGUCGGCUCAGUUGGGGGUUUUGCACUCUCUCGGGGUCGGGAAGAGAGAAGAGGAGGGGAAGAAAUGUGAUUAUGAAAAACUGAGGACCCAAAACGAAAUUUUUCCUAUUUAACCUAAAUAUUCCUGAAAAGCCACAACUUCCGCUGACCAUAACUUUCUCAUAUGAAGUCCGUUUUACACGUGCCACGUGUCUACGAACUCGUAUCGUCGUGCUCUACAACUUCCGUGAAGGAAGUUUCUCGAGAAACCCAACAUAUUAAAAAGUCAACUCUUGACCCUUCAAAACCAUAAAACCGUUUCGGGUAAAAUAAGCAUCUGAACGUUUCCGCUCUUCCUUCGAACCUCAAAACACACUAACUUCUAACUCAGAAAAUUCCCAAAUAAUAUUAGAAACUAAUAUUAAAUUUCCGGGGUAUUACAAUAAGUGCACGAACCGGGGAAUGCAGAACCCUUCGAUGGCGAACAUCGAUAAAGCGAUCUAAUCGGGUUUCGGGUUGGGAGACCAUGAGUAUAACAAGACGACUAACAAAAGAGGUACAAGUGGUGAGAUAUUACUGAUUUGUUAGGUCGUAUAUUGGAGACAUCUAUACGGUAUGGGACGUGUAGGCUCAUAUGUCUUUGAUGUAUGGACUAAUAAGCCAGUAAUCGAGUGUAGGAAGUUUAUUUGCAUAUAUGCAUUGAAUUGUUAUUAUUUAUAUUUAAAGUGUUGUUUGUUAUUUGAUUACUUGAUUUUACGACUUAGAUAAGAAUAACCUCAAGAGGUUUAGCCCUACUGAGCGUAAGCUCACCCCUAUAGAAUUUUGUUCAGGUACUACGAGACACGUCUUUCGAGAAGUCUAACAGUGAAGUUUAGCUGACGUGUUCGAGAGUUAAGAGGAGUUACGGAAGAUUAGAAAUGAGAUAGAUCCCAAAGCCUUGUUUUGUCUUUGUAAAUUGAUUUUUGUUAUUGUAAAUGUUUUAUUUUCUUUUAUUUCGAGAAAAGUAUUUGAAAUUGUUUUAGUUUUUUUUACUUUUCCCUCUCACACCUCGGGUUCGGCGUCUGGUGCUUGGAAACCAUCGACAUCGGGUCCGGGGUGUGACAAGUUCCACACUAUUAUUAUAGGAACAAACACAAGAGAUUUUGACUCAAACUUAAACCUAAAACCUCUUGUCUAUCAGUCUUUAUUUUCUAAAUCAGAGCAUAUCUCUCUCAUCUGAUAACGCAAAUUCUCGUUUUCUAAUUUGUCUCGUCUUCCUCUGAUUUCAAAAAUCGAUCGUCACUUGAUAACCUUGGAUUGCCUCGUCGGCCUUCAUUAGUUCAUCCAAGGCAAUCAAGCAAAGUAGAAUUUUCGGAGGUCCUUUCAAAUACCCCCAAAUCUCCUGAUUCAUCUUCUUCAAUUCGAAUAAAAACCCAAGUUUGAUUCUCAAUCCCACCCAAAACUCUUGAUCCUUGCCAACCCAAACUUGCAAUCCCCAUUCUCAAUCAUCAAAACCCCUUUCUUCAAGAAAUCAAAGCUUCCUUCUGCGAUUUGACGUCAACAAAAUCCAUUUUUCCUCUUGUAUGUUGGUCUUAUCAAAAUAGGUAAUGGAUGGGAUAUGACUUGGUCUUAUCAUGUUGGGUUAAUUCUUGAUAAGCCAUUUUCAAUCCUUCUAUAAGUUAUGUUCAUUUUUUUUACUUGGUAAUGGAUGUGAUAUCUGGUUUGGAUGUUUUUCUAAUAAAAAUGGUGUCUUUCUUUCUCAGUUAAUUUGUGUGAAGCCAAUUUCAAUCCCUCGAUUCGUUUCUUUAUUACUGGGCUAAUUGAUUUGGAUUUUGAAAGAGAAGUUGAAAUAGAAGACUAGAAGAGUCUUUGACAGUGUCAUGUUGUGAGGUCGUGAGCGACUGAGCUUUAGUUUUCUGAAGGUUGUGAAAGACCGAAGGACCGGCCGGUUUUUGGUCGGUCCGGGAUUUAGCCGAUUUUAGAAAAUUUUAGGCGAAGGCUCGGCCCGGUUUUAGUUCAGCCGGUCUGAUCCUGGUCCCGCCAAAUCAAUGUUCGGUCUGGGCCCGUGCCCAACCCUAUUUCUAUUUCCUUUGUUUUGUAGUGACCAACUGGUAUUGUUGGUUUUCCACCCUUAUAAUCACUCAUUGAUCGAAGUCGUGCCUUCAGCCCUUAGACUGCUUGAUGGCUAUUUCUACCUCUUCUCGGGAUCUCAGGAUGAGAGGUCGAAUCAUUGGCUUCAGUUCCUGUAGCUGCACAAGUAACACUGCGUCAAGAGUCAGGACUGGGGCCAAUCUUCGACUCUCCGAUGCUUAAGUCAGCAUCUGGUUGCUACUUGUAUAGUAUGGGAGUAUGGGAGGAAUAGUGAACUUACCUCUUUUGGGAAUUCAUGCCUGUUUUAUAGGCUAGUAUUGGGGGUUCUGUUGUUAGCUUUCGAUGUGGGACUGUUUUCAUAGUGUUCUUCAGUCUCUCCCCUUUCGGGGGUGUUUAGCAGUUGUGAAGUGUUUCCAGCAAGUACAUUGUUGCUAGACCUUCACUCUUUGAGUGCCUGUGAAGGUCUUGCCGAGGUUGUCUUGCCUAGAAUGGUCUCCGACGACCGGAUGAACAUGCCAUAUUCUCGGCACGGCCAAGUGUUCUUGGCUAUGUAUCAACAAGUCCCCAAGUCCCCAGUCCGAGAGAGCUCUUGGGUGGGGAGUUUUCUCAAGUUGUGCCAAGAAUGUGUCUUACCCGGGAGUUGGAGGCAUGGUGUCGAGUCCCCAAGUCCCCACGCGAGGGUCGCAAGGUGGCUGGGGUUAUAUUCCGAGAGCCCGAUACAAUCAUUUCGUCAUAUCUCACGGGUGUCAUAAAUAGCCAGUUUAUGAGGGACACGUGGUCAUUUAUGACAUCAUUAAAGUUGUAACGGCUUGUGCAAUUAACGAGCGUGCAUGAGAUCAUGGGGUGCGUUGUAACGCACGUUUUGAUCAUGGUCGACGUGGCUUCUCCUUGACCGUUGAGGUGGGGAAGAUCUGCACGGUCGUGGUUGAUGCAGAUGUCUAUAAAUAGACCUGGAGGAAACAGAGGAGGGAGUUUGUAUUUUGAAAAGAGGGAUUAGGGCUGAAAGAGCAGUUUCCAAGUGUUUAGAAAGGCGCUUCGACAAACUGUGGAAUCGAACCUGGAGAACGUCCAAUUUCAUCCUCGAUCAGUUGGGUGCGAGUGCUCUGCUAUUUGCAACCAACCAGCAUCACUGCCACUACGCUUACCCGCGUUUUCAAGGUAUGAAGUUAUCAAUUCCCAUUUUGGGUUUUGCUUUUGUUUUGUUUUUGUACUGGUAGGGGGUUUUGUUAUGAUUAUCGCAUUGCUUGUGUUGUUUUUGUUGGGUGAUUCUAAAGUAAAGGGCUGGGUGGUUUCUGUUGGGCUAGUUAGGGUUAAGGUAGCGAGAGUCUAACUCGUGAGGAUGUAGGGUAUGACAGACCCGGUGUGGGUGUCCAACGAGGAGAUUGUGGUUGUCUCUAGCUCGCCUGAUCCUGAUUCAGACACCUUGCACCGGUUGGAGGAGGAAUUGGAAAAUCUUAUGGCGGAGGUUGCACUUGAUUUAGGAGAGGACAUUCCUGUUACGGAUGCUGGGUCUCACGUGUCCUUGGCUGACCCUCUCUUGCAGGAGGUAGAAGAGUUUAGUAUGGCAAGAUCUCGAGAGGCUGACGACUCGUUCUGGGAUCCUCUUGGCGAGAGUAUGACGUCGUCAGAGUUGGUAGCUCUUAGGGAAAAUUGGGGGAUUCCUGAUGAGGUGCUAUUACGUCCCCUUUCCAAGAAUGUUAAGUUUUGGGCUCCUCCAGAUGAUUUUACCUUAGUACAAGUAUCAGCUGAGGUGUGGGUUGAUGUUCCUGUUGCCUCCCUUCGUUCAGUAUACGCUGGCGUGUCUACAUAUUGCCCCGGGGCAGGUGACCCCUAACAUGCUGAGGCAAAUAUUGGGGACAGGGGUGUUGUUCCGCUUAUUGAGACAGGAAUUCCCCUGUUUUGAGGAGUUCAACGCCUGUUGGCAUAUGGCGUAUUGCGCUAAGAAGGACAGCCGAGGUUGCGUGACUUUGAAGUCCUGGGGGAAGUUCAAGAUACUUGUAGAGGAUUUGCCCACGUCUACGAACGAGAGUUGGCGUCGGAAGUGCUUCCUUGUUGGGAGGCAGUGGCAGGAGUGGCAUGGACAUCCGUUUCGUGCACCCGGAGCGUUUCAAAAAAUAGGUACCGUGUAUUGUGUCUCAUGCUUUGUUAUUGUUUGUACUGUACUGCCCCUGCUGACAUCUGACUUUGUGUAGUGCCCCAAGAGUAUGAGCUAACCGAGCUAAUGGAGCGUCGUAUACGCCGGGUGAUAUGGGCAUUGGUGUAACAUCCCGGACCUAAUUUUUCCUAUUUAUUGGGUAUUCUGCGAGUUACUGAGAAAUUUAACCACGUUUGGUAACUUAGUAAGGUAACACUAGUUUAUUUUCGAGUUUUCUAGAAAUGUCGAAUCCCUCUGUUAAGGUCUCAAUGUAGUAGUUUGUAUUGACACAAGUUCUUCGGUGUUUUAGGAUUUUUUGUUUUCGAGUUAUUUCGAUUUAUUGAAGGUUUGGUAGAAGGAAUUAAUUUUUCUGAAAUUUGAGUAUAACUUUUAAUAUGGGCCAUAGGAUCUAGGGUUAAAUCUUGGCUGUUGGAUUAGGCUUAAAAGGUAAAGAGGGGGUUGACCCAGUCAAAGAAGACACUCGGUUUGACCCGAGCCAAGACAUCCCUCUUCCUCUCCACCUGCCUCCGGCGUCCUCCGCACGACGCCGCCGUCUCCGGCCACCCUUAGCGACGAGAUCACCUCCAAUCUCUUCCUCUCCUUCUCUUCUAUUUAACCCGGUCCUCAGAACUCGAUUUUAGUCCGAUUCAAAAUCAAAUUGAGGGAGAGAAGCUUCGGUUGUUCCCGGCGAGUCCUCGAGAUUUCCGGCCACGGCUUGACGAGUAAAUGGUAGGGUUUUGUUCCUCUCCUCUUCUUCUUCAAUUCCAUAUCUUCAAUUCUUUGAACCGAGCCUUGAUUCUAAAAGCCCUUUUUACUCUGUUUUCUGGGUUUCGAAUCCCUAGCUCCGGCGACUGAGUUCUUCGGGUUCUAACUGCCACCAUGAGCUCCGUCGAGCGUUGUACAUCCUUGGUGAAGCCAAUUCAUAGAGUUGGGAAGCUUUGGGGCAGCUGUUGUGAGGUCAAGUAGAGGUAAGCUCGGCUUCUCGGCUGAGAAACUUCCGGGUUGGUUUAGACGAGCAGAAGUAAAAAUCUGGCUAGGAGGAGGAUGAGAAGCAAAUGGGUUUUUGGUUUCAAGCAGAUUAAUGGUGAGCCUUGUGCUGUGUUGUUAUGUGUCGGUUGUGGUUUGAGAAAAUUGGAUUUUGGUUGCUAAUUUGGAUGUUUUGGUUUCUUGUAUGUCGAUAACUUGGUUUCGGAGUUUUCGGGGAGGCUAUGGCCAAUUUCCGGCAAGUGGCCGAAAUCCAGCGAUCAAUUCCGACAAAGGAGCGGUUUUUCGGCAAUGGCCAAUUAGGUAGUUUCCGAGGACUUUCUUUCUAAUCUGAAUUGUAGUUUCGAAAAAGAGAAAUAUUCGAGUUAUAAUCGGAAAACUUGCUAAGUUAGAAAAGUUCCCAUUUUAGGAAACUUUCCUUUUAUGGAGUCAUCCCAUUUAUGGAAACCCUCUUUGGGUGCCCUUAGUAAUUUAAUGGUUUUCCGGAUUAAUGUGUUCCGUAUAUUUGAGUCCUUGAAAUUACCCUAGUUUUAUUAAUCGAAACCGAAAGUUGCCAAAAUGAUCUUUUAAGCGUAAAAGUUGAGGGUCAUUAGUGAUUCAUGAAUUAUUAAAUGACGCCAAAUAAGUAACGGUUAAUAGAAUAUUUGGUGAAUUAACUCGGAUUAUUAAGUCAAAGGUUAAUUUGGAAAAUGUCGAAACAUCAUUAGUUGGCCGACCCUAAGUCAAUUGGUCAAACUUGGUCAAUCCUGGUCAACCUAGGAAAUCCUAAUCAAUCUAGGAAAUCCUAAUCGAUCUAGAAAGAGUCCGGUCUAACCAAUUUGUUUUACUGUUUAUCGUCAGAUGUGAGAUUGACUUGAGAUUUUGAAUAAUUGGAGACAGCGCUCGAGGAGUAUUCCGAGUAUUAGAAGAGUUAAGGCUUAAUGUCACACCCUGACCUUAGGGUAUGACUAAUAUGAUGGAUUAAGUUGAAAACAUAGAAGCUGAAAAAAAAAAUUUAUGAGGAAUAAAAACCGUACUCCAAAUUAUGAUGUACAAAAUUCUAAAACACAUCUUUACUUUCUACAAAUCUGUAAACAGUUUAAUAACAAGAGUACAUGUAGAAACUUUUCAAAACAACUUUAGCACUUGUUUCAAUUGCCUUCAAAUAUACAAAAAUGAACAGUAAAAAUCAGAUAAGAGAAAGGCUAGAUAAAGCUUUACAUUUUGCUCAAUACAAUAGUUGAAUUUCAAAACCAUCCAUCACAUUGGUACCAAAACCUUUACCAGAUUGUUGCCUCAAAGCUACAUAGAAAUUCUAAACUUUUAAAACAAGGCAACAUCAACAACAUACUCCAUUCAAUUAUAACAACGCAACACAGUCCAAGAUAACACAAGCACUCGGACACAAGUGAAGCACAGCCAACACCAUCACAGAAUAAUACCAAAACUUCAACUCAAGAACUCUAGAGUAUCAUUAACUUGUCAAUUUAUGGACUACCUGAAAACAACAAGAAUAUAGGGAAUGAGCUUCACAAGCUCGACAAAAUAAUCUUUAUAACUAAGACUCGAAUCCAAUAUGCAACUGAACAUGAGAGAUUGGAGAUAUGCUUCCAAUGCUCAUGAAUUGAAUAACCAUGACUACAUAAUUGAGGCUAAGGCUCAAAUGAUUGCUGCUGCACUUUUAGAAGAGAAACAGAAAUUGGAAACUGAUAAAGAACGACCAGGAAACACUGCUCAAAGGUACCGAUGACAUUAAAGGUAGCAAAAUUUUACCAACUGAAUGAAGGCUCAAUAUCAUAAGGGAAUCAACAGGAAAGAGUCUGAUAACAAAAGUCAGUUGACAAGAAAUUUAACAUAUAACUUCUAAAAUCAACAGAAGUAUCGUAAAAUCCAUAGUACCCUUCAGCUUUAAAUAAUAUGUUCAAAUCCCAGAAACCGUUUUCUUUUACAGAGCACAACUUCCAACAACUUCAUUUAAAACUUUUUUUUCAAUCGAAAUUGGCAGAUCCUUAUAAUUCCGGUUAGAGCCCACUGCCCAGCUAUACCACCGAGCAAACCCCGCACAUGCGGUACCCUGACCAGGUUUAGGGUUAAACAACCCAAGGGAGGCACAAUCCCCACUCAAACAAUUCACCGGGCCUAACCAAAUAAAAACAUUUGAAAUCUAAUCGCUUUCCAGACCAAGCUGAACAAUCAGGGAUAUCAGAAAGAAACUUGAAAUCCCUUUUCAGAAUGAAGUAAGAAUCUGCCCAGAAAAUGAUAAUGUAACUCAAAUCUCUUUCCUUUCAAAAAAAUCAGGAUUUCAACAAACCAAAUCCUUUUAUGAAGAUCAAAUCAAUAAAAUACCGAUAAGAUUUGCAUGACAUAACAGCAACUUAAUUAGUUUAUUACCAACAGGAGCACAUUUAGAAAGAGGUAAGACUAAUCAGAGAUGGGACUUUGUAUUUUCAUAAAUGGAACUACUGCUUUGAGGACUUCGUAUGAAACUGCAUAUAGGAGACCAGAUUUUAAUACCAAGAAACAUGACGUAGAUACUAAUACACGAUUUUGUACCGAAACCAGUAACAAAAAACUUUGGCAUUUGAUAAACCGUUGAAACAAUCAUGAAUAACAACAGAUGAAACCAAUGGAGGAGAACCGCACUAACAAUGAACCAGUAGAAUACAUUUACUCAAAACCAUAAUGGGAAGCAUCGAGUUACAUCAAAGAUAGAAGUAUCUUACUGAAAAUAAUGUCGAUGAAGGUAAAAAUACCUUAAACAACGAUCACGUGGUAUGAAUUGAACUCAAGGACAGCCAUAUGCAAAUGGAUUUGGAAUUCAUAGUUCCAUAUGGUCUAAAGUAUAUAUACUGGAAACGAAAUAGCCCUUUGGUAUUUAAAAGAUGCAAGAAACAUUUACUGUACUUUAAAAAGGUAAAGUGUAGAAAAUAUGCAACAUGUAACAACUCUUCUACGUAUGAGGAUUAUACACUGAAAACAAGAGUAAGUCAGUAAAUUGGUUGCAUAAAACAUUGGAACUUUGUUGUUAUGAAAUCACAAGAAUAAUCAAUUUAAUUUACCACUUGGCUAGAACGAGACAGGAAAUGCUUUUGGGAACCAACCUUUCCAAAAUGCAUGAACACAUAAAUUUUGUAAAUAGGAUUUAGAAGAGCAAACCCUUUUAUAACAGUAAAUUUUGUGAUAGGUAGAAGAUCAUCUGGUAUAGACAAAACUUUAAUGAGAUAUACAUAUUCAUAUUAGUUGGAUCAUGAGUACGAGAGUAUUUCAACAUGCUUUGUAAAUUAAAAUAAGGAGCUGAAUCAAUUUGGGCAAAAACAUGGUGAAAAGAAUAUUUAUAGAUCACCAAUUUGAUAGGAAAGUCUGGACAUACAAUAGUCUGAAAGUGGAUUUCAUUUCAGAGUUAAAAGACCAAGCAUAUAGAUAGAUAUAGCACAUGUAUCAAGUUGUUUAUGAGAAAGAGUACUAUUUGGUCGAUUUUCAGAAAUCAGUUCCAAUAGGAUAAUUGGCACCAUGAGUAAAACUAAGGAGUAGAAUAGUUGCGAGAGAGAAGCCCAGUUAUAUCAUUUAAUCCUUUUCGAAAGGAACUCAGGACCAAAAGAAUAAGCAAGGAAUUGAACUUUUAUUACAAGCAAAGUCAUAUUUAAAAGGUUUCCUGUUACCUUAUAGAGAACAAAACAAGAAUCAGCUUUAUGUAAAUGAGGAGCUUGAUACAAAUUGAGUUAUGAACACCAACGAACAACAAGACUAGGAUCAUAAAUAACUCAGAAACAACAAUACACAGCUCCACUCAAAGUCCCAAAGCAGUAGAGUAAAACAAAUAGACAUAGAUCGGGUAUUCAAUAGAACCACUUUAGAUGAUAUAAUCAUAUAGAAACCAGCAGUCCACAUGAUCAGAAGGAUUUGGAUAGGGAAAGAGCAUUGUCUGCUCUUCAAUGAAUUCCAACAAAGAUACUCAAAGCUAUCGUAUCAAGAUUAGACACAAACCAAGGGUACUUAUUACCCUGAAUCAAAGAAGCAUCGAAACUCAAUAAAAUUUCUAUUCAACAUAAAACAAGGGUACCAUGCUUAUCAAUUUGCACUCACAGAAAAGUAGCAGAGAAGAUAUUCCAAUACAAUCACCCCAAUCACAUAUUAAAUAAGAAUCAAAGCUAUAAAGAAAAGUUUAUUUUCCCUACCUCAAUCUAUGGAUACCAGCAGCCAAGCAAGACAAGAGAGGAAAACAAGCUUCCCAAUGCAAGCAUCCAAUUUACAUCAUCACCAAAGCAAUCCGAGCUCAAAUGCAAACACCCAAUUUACUAUAGCAAUACAGGUUCCCUAAUUGAUAUUCAAAAUACAAUUCAGACUCCGAUUUAUUGGGGAAUAGACGAGACAAGAUAACUAGUUGGAGAUAGAGAGCAUUGAAACUUACAGAAGCUAGCAGUGAAUAGACGAAGAAUUUCAGAUCCUUUGGCAACGAAUUUCAUGGCCAUUCCUCCCCUCUUUCUUGUGAGCCAGUGAAAUCGGUGUUGUUGAUUUAGAGAAGAGAACGAUGAUCAGAGUAGAGACAGAAGUGAAGAGUAGAGAAAAGGGGAAGAAGAAGAAGAGAAGGGAGAAGAGGAAGAGAGACUGACGAGUUUGUUCUGGAGAAUUCGGCAAGGGACACGUGAAUGAAAUAGAACGGGCAACGUGUUCCCUUCUAGAUGGGACUAGAUGAUUCCGCACCAAUCAGAUAUUUUCCUCCAAAAUUAAUUAAAUAACAACUACACACAUUUACUAUAUAUUUAUUGGUUGACAGGAACAGUUAGGAACAGGGCAUUUCCGUCUUUUGCCACUGGGUUGGGUAUGGUUAAUUACGUUUCUGCCCCUGUGAGCCACGUUUAACUUCUAAAGCUCUCUGGAAACCCAGACAGGAGAGAUUCUAGAAAAACCAGACAGAGGAGGGUGUAGAAGAAUCCAGACAGAAAAGAGUGAGAAAAACCCAGGCAGACGAGAAACUCUAGAAACCCAAACAGAAGAGAAAGUGAGAGAGAAAAGAAGAGAGCAGAAGAAAUAGAGCGGAAGAAAGUGAAAGAGAAAAGAGAGCAAACGCUCGAUUCGGAACCAGACAGAAGAGAAAGUGAGAGAGAAAAGAGAGCUUAUUCGGAUACUAGACCCAAAAGCUCGAUUCAGAUCCGAGCAGCCCAAACUUAGAGCAAAUCAUCUUUUCUUUUUCCAAUAACCAACCCUUCGCAGCCGUUGCCGGAGACGUUGUCGGAGACGCACUUCCAAUUUUGGAUAUCCUUGGUUGUUCUCAUCUGCCUUUACUCAUUUGGUAUGUCUCCUCUUUUCUUUUUUCUUUUUUUAUUUCCUGAAUAUGAGCUUCCUUGCUCAUUGGUCUANNNNNNNNNNNNNNNNNNNNUUCUCAGUCUCUAAUAAUUGCUUAUCAGUUGUUUGUUUGUAUGGAAUUCUUAAGAAAGCUUUAUGUGCAUCGUUGGCAGUACUGUUAAUUCUUAUCUCUUUGUUUAGAGUUUUCGGAACAAAGACAAAGAUCAAUAUUAGUGAAUUUUGCCUUAUCUGAUAGAUCAUCGAUGGAAUAUUACCAUGCUCCAACUUGAUAGCUAGGCCGUACUCCCAACCAUAAAAGUCUUCAUGGAAAUUAUGUAAUUCAACUAUAUGUCAUGCUCAUAAUUAAGCAGUAUUCAAGGUUGGAAAUUGAUCAAAGUGCAUGUGCAUUUUAGGAAGGAGACUGGUCUUUGAAAAGAAGAGAGACCAAAAGAGAAUUGAAGAUCCCUGAUGUAUCUGGUAUCAUCUAUGGUUUGCGCCUAUAUUACAUGAUUCUUGACUCUUUGUGCAUUUGCACCCUAUAGAAGAGCCAAAUAGUGGAUUAUUGAAUUUAUGAUUCCUGUAAUUGAAGGCUCAUCUGUUGCUUUCACAUGCCAUGUCUUACAUUGAUUAGAGCCUCAUGUGAUACAUUAUUUGAAUAAAAUCUGUAUAUCAAUUUCACCACAGAAUACCAGCUUCCAAGAUUACAAACAUUGCUGCUCAACAUGGUAUUGCCUUGGUUUCCCUAGCUAUAGAAAACUAGCAAACAACCGAGGCUACAACCAGAUUCUUUCUGACUAAGCUGCAUGCAACAUGGUGAACAAGUAGGAUAGUUUUUGUUCUUCUUUAAUUUGUAUGGAUUUUGACGGCUUAGAAUGAAGUCCUUUCACUGAAAUGGUGUCAGCAGAACUCAGAUUUGCAAUAUUAACAUGUGUUGCAUAUAUUGACUCUAUUAUUUGUAACAAGAGUUCAAAUAGAUCCAAAUUCAGUGCAAUGCAACUUACAAUACAAUUAUACCUCUGUUAUAUAUGGAGCUCACUUCAAACAUACGGACUUCCAUACCUUUGUAUAUACUUCUACAUAACAGUUCUUUUCACAUAUAUUGUCAACAAACGAUCUCAACCCGCAGCAACACGCGGGGGAUUUACCUAGUAUAAAAGAAAAUAUGAUUUGGAAAUAUAUUGGUAGUCUAAAAUAUAAUCAAAACCAAAAUCCUAGUUAGAGAAGAAAACACACAAGCAAUUCAAUAAAUAAACCUAAUUAAAAUUGAGAUCAUUACACUAUUGAGAUCAUUACACUUAACCUGAUUCGAGGAGACCUCACUUGAUUGGCGAGUUGGUAUUCAUCAGGCUUAUGUCUAAAGUUGUGAGUGGACUUUUGUUUUAAAUAAUAUGCGUGUAAUGGUUUGUUGUUGAACAAUUUCUUUUGUUGGAGCAUUUAACGUCAUUUUAAUUUGACGAUUUUAUUUCUUUUGGAGAGUUACCGAAAAUUGGAUUUUUCGGUGAAUAUAAAUAUGUAUUUAUGAGGAGAGUAUGUAUAUAAAUGCUAGCUAGCCAUAUGUGUCUGUGCACUUUAAUGGCAUAGUAUAUAACCGCAUUAUAGUGUGACGCGAGCGUUAGACGCGAGCGUAGUAGCCCUAUAUGAGUGUUUAAUUCAUAUAGGGGGUAUGGGCACAUAUUUAUACACUCGUCUGUCCACCUUAAUGGCGUAGUGUAUCACCGCAUUAUGGGGUGACGUGAGCGUUAGACGCGAGCGUAGUAACCUUGUAUGAAUUUCUAUUUUUCAUAUUUUUUUAUAAGAAUUCAUACAAGGAGUAUGGACGUUUGUAAAUACAUACAUAUAUUUUAGAGCUUGAGAGGCUCGAUAUUUUAUGAGUUGAAAGUUUUAUCGCUUGAGGCAUGCAUUCGCUUUUCCUUGGAAAUUUAAUUUGGGAAAGCAUAAAGAUUUUUAUUGCUCGUUUCUUUUAAAUUUACUUUUGUCCACUCACUCUAACGUUUUCAAAUGUUUUCCCCUGGGCACUUCGUUUUAAAAAUGCCCAGUUUGCAGAAUUGCAUAGUUGAGGUCGGGCGUACAUAGAGACGAGACAUAGUCAAUAGUAUAGCUUCCGCUCCUAUUUAUAUUUCUAGUUCUUUUCUCCUCUAAUAGAGUUGCUCUGAACCUGUGAGUGUUGGUUAUGGGAUUUUUGUUAGAUUAGUAAAUAUAAAUUGGGAGAUGUUGUGAUUUGUGGGGAGUACGAAGGCUCCAGGAGUUUAUAAGGUUGGAGUUGAAACUUUUAGAAGUGUUUGCAGGUGUUUUAGUUAGGAAGGGUUAUCCAUUUUCAAUGGAGGUUAUGGCGAUUUUUCGGUAAAAUUUCCUUAGAGGUAGACCCUGCAUGAUUUACUUCGGGUUUCAGGAUGAAAUUUAGGGUGGGUCCUGACAGUUGGUAUCAGAGCAUUAGGUUAUUCGAUUCCUUUCUCUUUUUAGUACUACCUCAUAUUCUUGGUCAUGUUUAGUGUCUAUAGAGUGAUGGGCCGACCGCGGCGGAUCCAUUAGCACUAUAUGCUUUAGACACUAUGUGUUGAUUAGGUUUGUGAUGUAGUUGUUCCUAUCUAUUUAUGGACAGUAUUAUGCCAUAAAUGUCUAUAUCUUCAAGACUAUGCCUCCGUACGCCGACCACUUAAGUGAUCAUCCUGCUUUGAUUAAGGAAAGAGGUGUUUGGGUUAUGCCUUUUCCAAGGGUUAUCGAGUGGAUAUCAUAAAUUGUUAGAGUUUAAUUGCGAUUUGGGAACUCUAGUUGGGAACUCAUAUGCGUGGUAGCAUUUCUUUCAUUUGAUCAAUGAUUGUUUGGGUAAUGAUUAAGAUGCUAGGUUUGGCAAUUUGUAUGAAUCUGUGGUAGGUGAAAUGUAUCAAGUUAUGCCCUGGGAGUUUCUAUUUUUGGUGGGCAAGUAAGGAGUUGUUGUAGUCUAAUGUAAAAUCUUGGCAUCGAGUUACGUGACUUCUGGUAGAAAAGAGUUGGAAAGAAAGUUCGAAGUAGUGGAGUAUUUUUUUGAUGUUAAAGUUAGUUGAAGUGAUUUGGUGGGGUACCUAUAGUAACUCUUGGAGGUACCUUUACAAGUUGUUGAGGACCCUAAUCUUGUGUGAUUUAGUCACGUGGGAUUUGUGGCUAUUGUUUGGUUGCAAAACAUUACUAUAGAAAAAGCUAAAUGUCAAUUUAGAUAAGUUAUGAUUGAAGGCCAAAUUGCCGACUAUUUUUAUCCGCAACAGAAAGCAGUUGGGAACAUUUUGGGAUAAUGCUGGUUAUGUCAGCACAUAUUUUGGUUCCUACAACUCUAAUUAUGGAUAAGUUUUUAUCCUUUUAGUACUUUAUUAAGAUGGUGGUGGUAAUAUCUUUUGGAAAUGAUGGAUAACAGUAGUCGAUGAAUAGUAAGAUUUCUGAUGACUUUGGUCUUUAUUAUGGGUUAGUUGAAGUUUGUUAAAGCACUAAGUAUAAUGACUUGGAUUGCUUUUCUUUGGGUCGUUGGUUUUACAAAAGUCAUUGGUCAGUGCGUUGUGACAACUUGUGGUGCCACAGUUAGGAAAUUUUAGAAAUUGAAUGAUGGCUCUAAAUGGUUUGAGUUUCAAGUAAGUUUGGAAUCGUUGAGUGAGAUGUCGAUUUAUUAUUUUAAUCGUGGGGCCAUUAUGGAUUCUUUCAGAAUUCUGGGUGUUGAAGUUUGGUUUCCAGAUUUGUUGAGUGUUUUAGGAAGAUGAUAAAUGUAAAUGGAAUUGAAAAGUAAUGGUGGAGUGAGAGCGGGAUGAUUGUGGUCACUCCGGUUUUACAACAACACUUGGUAAAUUUAAUAUGUGUUGUCAUGGUGUUCUAAAUCAGUUGUGUGGAGCUGGUGGAAGUGGUAGCAGUGGAAUAAAACCCACUGGAUCAUGGAGCAAGAGUGUGCGAGUGUCCAAAGUAUUUUUUUUUAAGCAGUGUCGUUCCGGGUGAUUGAUGUAAGUCUUGAAUUUGAUUGAAGUUGGUUUAUUGACAUCACUUCGUUAGCAAUUGGUGUCUAGCUACGACACAUCAAUUGGAGAAUAUGUUCACUCACCUUAUUUCUAAUUCAGUGAGAUGGAGCAGAGUUUUUGGUUGUGGUGUGUGUGGGAAUAUAUAAAUUAUUCCUACUCUAGUUUUUGGGUAGCAUCCUCAGAGCUUGAAAUUAUGGAGUGCGAAUUCAACGCUUCGAUUUGAAGGUUAGAGAUUCUGGUUAGUUGUCGAAGUUUCGAGGUAAAUGAUAAAUUGGUUGUUGUGUCGUAGACAUGGAUCAGGGAUAAAUCUAGUGGUGAUCCCAAGUGAGCUGGAGUUCAAUUAAGCGAUGAAACAUGGAGCCGUAAGUCUUAUGUGGUAGUUUGAGAGUUGUGUGGAGGUGUUUAAUAGAUGGUUGGUGUCGUUGUAAGUAUGAUUUAUGAUGUAGCUUUAGUGAGAAGGUUUCCUCUGUUGACUCAAGAAGCAUUUCAAGUCGAUGUGGGUUAAGAGUUUCAAUAUUGAGACUAGUAGUAUAUUGAUAAGUCGAGCGAUGUCUUCGCUAGAGAUCUGAUCAUGGUGGGACCACUUAUUGAUCUAAGUAUGAUCUGAGAGGUCAUCGCUGUUUGGAUAUGUGUCCACUCGUUGGUGUCAGGGCGAUUAGUUAAAAUCAUUAUAUUGAAUUUUGGUUUCUAGUAUGUUUUCAAAACGGGUUUCCAGCGGAUGUUGGAGAAUUGUGAAGCUUUUGAGCUCGAAGUUUUGAGACUUGUCCACAAGUUCUAUAAGCCAGUUAUUCUGAAGCUUGAGCGGAGAUUUGCCCUUAGUUUUGACUUUUACUUAAACUCAUAAUUUUCGUUGGUUAGCGAACCACAAAGUGUAGUAGUGGAUUUUGUUUGGAAAACUAUUUUUCAACAUGCGAUAGGUAAUUCGGUGUUCUUUGCACGCUUAGCACAACAGUGUUAAAAGCUAAGUCUUGUUUUCGGUUGUCACUGCUUUUGAUGAUCAAUGUAGUUAACUCAGGUGUGAUUUCAUAGUUGAUUGAUGCAUUUGUCAGAAGUAGUUGGGCUUUGAAACUGUAGCGUCAAUUGUGUGCAAGAGUUGUCCAUAAAUGAUUUUUGGAUCGUAUUAUGCUGUUAGUUUAAUUAUAAAUGGAAAGUUGAGAGAGAAAUGUGUUUUUAUCUGGUUUAUAGGUUUUGGCAUUUAGAAUUUUUCUCUUGGAAUGGCUAUAAUAAGAGGUAUAAAUUUAACCGUUGGUUUGUGGUCGCGGUGAAACCCAUUUAAGUAGUAAGGUUUAAAGAUCAGGUGGUGAUCUGUUUGUGUGAAUUUCCAACAUUAAGUCAGACAACAAUUUUGUGGUCAUCAAGUAGUUCAGUUUUGAUUACGGCAAGCAAGAAGGGAAAAAUCUUGUUAUCGCAUGUUAGUCACGUUUCAGAUCAUCUUCUGGUCUGAGGUGAAGAGAUUUUUGUGAAUAACAAAAUUAGGAGAGAACUUGAAUUCCCAUAAGCUGCUAGUUUGUGUGCAAAAUGGAAAGGUCAUAGUUUUGGUGGAGAGACCUAAGUGAUGUAGUUAUUGAUCAUUACAUACUGUCAUUUCGAGAAUCGAGGUUAAACUUUUGUUGGGGGAAUGAUCGCUUAGGCAGAGAAGGGUUGUCUUGUGGUCUUGUGUGAGCUUUGACUCCGCGAGUACCACAAUAUUUGAAGGGUGAUUGCUGCAGUUUUUGGCAAUGUAGGAAUCCUCAAUCUGUUCAAUUAGCAGGUUUUCAGAUAGCUAUGAGCAUGUGUGAAUGCAUGAAUUCUAGCUUCUUAUCAAGUGGGCUUUGAUGUCAAGUAUGAAAGCAUUGUAACGAUGAGUUCGUGAGCAGGCAUUGUGAAUUAAUUACGUGCAGACGUUAGUGGUACAACGAAAGAUUUAGAGUCUUUGAAGGAAGCUUUAUUCGCGUCGGGCGAGAGAUUGGUGAAUCAGAGUCAUCAGUGUUCCAAUUAUGUCAACGCCAUGUGGGGAUGGCAGAGUAGAGCCAUCGAGUUUCUUAGUGCAACAAGGAGUAAAGGAAUGGCGAGUUUUCAUUUGAAAUUUCGAGGACGAAAUUUUUAUAAGGGGGGGGGGGAGAUUGUAACACCCCGGACCUAAUUUUUUCUAUUUACUGGGUAUUAUGCGAGUUACUGAGGAAUUUAACCACGCUCGGUAAAUUAGUAAGGUAACACUGUAGUUUAUUUUCGAGUUUUCUAGAAAUGUCGAAUCCCUCUGUUAAGGUCUCAAUGUAGUAGUUUGUGUUGACACAAGUUCUCCAGUGUUUUAGGAUUUUUUGUCGGAACUUCGAGUUAUUUCGAUUUAUUGAAGGUUUGGUACAAGCAAUUAUUUUUUCUCAAAUUUGAGUAUAACUUUUAAUCUGGGCCAUAGGAUCUAGGAUUAAAUCUUGGCUGUUGGAUUAGGCUUAAAAGGUAAAGAGGGGGUUGACCCAGUCAAAGAAGACACACUCGGUUUGAUCCAAGCCAAGACAUCACUCUUCCUCUCUGCUUGCCUCCGGCGUCCUCCGCACGCCGCCGCCGUCUCCGGCCACCCUUCACGACGAGAUCACUUCCAAUCUCUUCCUCUUCUUCUCUUCUAUCUAACCUGGUCCUCAGAACUCGAUUUUAGUCCGAUUCAAAGUCAAAUCGAGGGAGAGAAGCUUCGGCUGUUCUCGGCGAGUCCUCGAGAUUUCCGGCCACGGCUUGACGAGUAAAUGGUAGGGUUUUGUUCCUCUCCUCUUCUUCUUCAAUUCCAUGUCUUCAAUUCUUUGAACCGAGCCUUGAUUCUAAAAGCCCUUUUUACUCUGUUUUCUAGGUUUUGAAUCCCUAACUCCGGCGACUGAGUUCUUCAGGUUCUGACUGCCACCACGAGCUCCGUCGAGCGUUGUUCGUCCUUAGUGAAGCUGAUUCAUAGAGUUGGGAAGCUUUGGGGCAGCUGUUGUGAGGUCGAGUAGAGGUAAGCUCGGCUUCUCGGCUGAGAAACUUCCGGGUUGGUUUGGACGAGCAGAAGUAAAAAUCUGGCUAGGAGGAGGACGAGAAGCAAAUGGGUUUUUGGUUUCAAGUAGAUUAAAGGUGAGCCUUGUGCUGUGUUGUUAUGUGUCAGUUGUGGUUUGAGAAAAUUGGAUUUUGGUUGCUAAUUUGAAUGUUUUGGUUUCUUAUAUGUCGAUAACUUGGUUUCGGAGUUUUCGGGGAGGCUAUGGCCAAUUUCCGGCAAGUGGCCGGAAUCCGGCGAAAGAGCGGUUUUUCCGGCAGUGGUCGAUUAGGUAGUUUCCGAGGACUUUCUUUCUAAUCUGAAUUGUAGUUCCGAAAAGAGAAAUAUUCGGGUUCUAAUCAGAAAACUUGCUAAGUUAGGAAAGUUCCCAUUUUAGGAAACUUUCCCUUUAUGGAGUCAUCCCAUUUAUGAAAACCCUUUUUGGGUGCCCUUAGUAAUUUAGUGGUUUUCCGGAUUAAUGUGUUCCGUAUAUUUGAGUCCUUGAAAUUACUCUAGUUUUAUUAAUCGAAACCGAAGGUUGCCAAAACGAACUUUUAAGCGUAAAAGUUGGGGGUCAUUAGUGAUUCAUGAAUUAUUAAAUGACGCCAAGUGAGUAACGGUUAGUAGAAUAUUUGGUGAAUUGACUCGGAUUGUUAAGUUAAAGGUGAAUUUGGAAAAUGUCGAAACAUCAUUAGUUGGCCAACCAUAAGUCAAUUUGUCAAACUUGGUCAAUCCUGGUCAACCUAGGAAAUCCUAAUCGAUCUAGAAAGAAGUCGAGUCAAUGAUUAUUUCUGAGUCCGGUCUGAUCAAUUUGUUCUACUGUUUAUCUUCAGACGUGGGAUUGACUUGAGAUUUUGAAUAAUUGGAGGCAGCGCUCGAGGAGUAUUUCGAGCAUUGGAAGACUGAAGACUUAACCUGAUUCGAGGAGACCUCACUUAAGUGGCGAGUUGGAUUUCGUCGGGCUUAUGACUAAAGUUGUGAGUGGAUUUUUGUUUUAAAUAAUAUGCGUGCAAUGGUUUAUUGUUGAACAAUUUCUUUUGUUGGAGCAUUUGAGUCAUUUUAAUUUGACGAUUUUAUUUCUUUUGGAGAGUUACCGAAAAUGAGAUUUUUCGGUAAAUAUAAAUAUGUAUUUAUGAGGAGAGUGUGUAUAUAAAUGCUAGCUAGCCAUAUGUGUCUGUCCACCUUAAUGACAUAGUAUAUAACCGCAUUAUGGUGUGACGUGAGCGUUAGACGUGAGCGUAGUAGCCCUAUAUGAGUGUUUAAUUUAUAUAGGGGUAUGGGCACAUAUUUAUACACCCGUCCGUCCACCUUAAUGGCAUAGUGUGUCACCGCAUUAUGGCGUGACGUGAGCGUUAGACGUGAGCGUAGUAGUUUUGUAUGAAUUUCUAUUUUUCAUACUUUUCAUAAGAAUUCAUACAAAGAGUAUGGACGUGUGUAAAUACAUACAUAUAUUUUAGAGCUUGAGAGGCUCGAUAUUUUAUGAGUUGAAAGUUUUAUCGCUUGAGACAUGCAUUCGCUUUUCUUUGGAAAUUUAAUUUGGGAAAGCAUAAAGAUUUUUAUUGCUCGUUUCUUUUAAAUUUACUUUUGUCCACUCACUCUAACAGUUUCGAAUGUUUUCCCUUGGGCACUUCGUUUUAAAAAUACCCAGUUUGCAGGAUUGCAUAGUUGAGGUCGGGCGUAUAUGGAGACGAGGCAUAGUCAAUAGUAUAGCUUCGGCUCCUUUUUAUAUUUCUAGUUCUUUUCUCCUUUAAUAGAGUUGCUCUGAACCUGUGAGUGUUGGUUAUGAGAUUUUUGUUAGAUUAGUAAAUAUAAAUUGGGAGAUAUUGUGAUUUGUGGGGAGCAAGAAGGCUCCAGGAGUUUAUAAGGUUGGAGUUGGAACUUUUAGAAGUGUUUGCAGGUGUUUUAGUUAGGAAGGGUUGUCCAUUUUCAAGGUAGGUUAUGCCGAUUUUUCGGUAAAAUUUCCUUGGAGGUGGACCCCGCAGGAUUUAUUUCGGGUUUCAGGGUGAAAUUCGAGGUGGGUCCUGACAAUUCGAGUUUAGGAGUACUGGCUAUGCCGUCUUGGCAUAUAUAGUCAUUUCAGUUAUGCCCGGGUUCCGGGUCUGUAUUUUUGUUUUGAAUGUUUUCCAUUUAAUGCUUUCUGGUGUGUGCUUAACCCUUAUUUUUUGUUUGGUGUAGUGACGAUGCUUCGGAACAGUGGGUCGCGGAAGAAGGAAGGUCCGUACGACAGGGUUUCGGAUGAGGAUGUAUUGGAGGGGUUGCGUGCCGAGGCUGAUCAUGCCAAGCGAUACGACAUCAAGUUGGAGAUGGGGGAAGGAAAAGAAGUAGAGAUCGUGGAGGGGGAAGAUGAUUUUUUGAGAUUGAAGCUAACGGAUGAGGACUAUGCCUAUUUGCCUCCCUUGGUGGCAAAAGCAAUGGGUUUGGGUGACCAAGAAGUGGAUGACGAGGUCACUGAGACCGAGGGUGGCGACCAUCGGGACUAUCAUAAGCAGGUUCUGGUGGAGGAAGAGCUGUCUCGGAGCCAGUGGGGGUGGAUGAUAUGUCUUUGGGGAAUGUCGGUGAGCCCCAAAUCGGUGGCGAGGACUUUGUGGUUGAGGAGGUGGAUCCCAUUGUGCAAGGGUCAGAGGAGGUUGUCGUGACAAGGACUCGAAAGAGGAAGGAAAGGGUUGAGUCGUCGCGUGAAGGUUCGAAGAGAUCACGCAAGGAAGGGCAUUCCGGGAGCUCCAGAAGUUUGGCUGAGAUCAGCCAAGCCGGGGAGGUGCAGCCUUACCUGGCACAGAUGGUGUACGACAUGCGUCACCGCUCUCACGACAUCCAUGCCUUGGAGGAGGUUGACCCCUUGGCUGGCGUGGCUCUCGCCAAGGAGAAGUUAAUUCGGGUAAGCUAGUGUGCCUAAUGUUCAAUUUGUUCCUCUUCGUUCCUAGUCUCUCUACUUAUGUUUUAGUGUUGUUUGCAGGCGACGUUGUUGAUGUAUGUUGCAAGUGAGAAGGCUGUUACCCACUUGCAGGGGGACGCGGAAGCUAAAUGCCAGCAGUUGAAAGAGGCGGAAGAGAACAAUCGUGCCCUCUCGCAGGGUCUUGAGCAGCUAGAGCAGGAUGUUGCUGUUUUCAGAGACCAGGCUGCUGUAGCCGGGAAGGAGGUUGCUGAGUUGAAGGAGGUUGUGCAGGAGAAGAACAAGCAUGUGGAAGCUGGGGAGGUGGCCGCUGCCAAGGUGGUGUCUUUGGAAGCUGAGGUGGCGAGAUUGACAAAUGCCUUGGCGGAGCAAGAGAGGGUUUGGAAGGUGAAGUGUGGAAGGGCUGUCGGGGCUGGGGAAAGGGUAAUCUGGGAGAGUGAGGUGUAUAAGCAACAGCUGAGGAGCGCUUAUAACCGAGGACAGGAUGAGCUGAGCAAGACUGGUUGCCAAGCUGGCUGGAUAAAUGAAGCGGCAAUGCGCAAGUGGUAUGCCGAGAGGGAUGCUGCGAAGAAGGCUUGGGAGCAGAGGAAACAAGCCAAGAUCUCGAGAUAGUUGGCAAAGCAACAUGAGGCCUGGCGUUCCACAUCAUCUGUUGUGCCGAAGGAGGUUCCUGUUGUGGGCACGCCUUGGCCACUUGCAGUUGUUGCUGCUUUGCCACUAAGGGCUCUGCGUCCCGAGAGGUCUCCUUCCACUCAAGUGGUGGUGUCGUAGGUAGCGUCUUUUGUUAUUCACCCCCGUUGACCCUCGAGCACCCGGGCUUGUGGUGCCCCCACGUUCUGAAGUGCAAAAGACUCCAGCGAGCAAGUUUCCUGUCACUGAAGUGCAACAAGUGAGUUCGCUUGUACGCCCCAAUGUUUUCUGUGAGGCCUCCCCUGGCAUCUCGGAACAAUCUAAGCACGUAUAUGGACAGAGGGUGUCAGUGAAUAUCAGCCAGAGCCGUGGGUGUGGUAGCGGUUCAAGGAGUGACGGUAGUGUUAACAAGUCCAGUGGCCCGUCAUCUGGGGAGAAGUGAUUGUUUUGACUUGCAAUUUGUUGUUUUUGCUAGUUUUCAAUUUUUGUUUGCUUUUGAAACAAUGUUUGUUGUUUGUGGCGUGGUUAGCCAUUUGAACAAUUUGUAGUUUAUGAAUUGCCUGGGAGUCUAGGCUGAUACUUGGCGUUAUUGCUUUUCAUUUAAAUGAAUGUGUUCGUUUGUGGGUCACCCGUUUUUUUUUGUUCCGUGUUCUUGAUACGGUAUGUUAGAAAAUUAUAAAAGAAAAUAUAGCAUCUUCAUUUAGAGUAGGCCGCUAACGAGCAAGGUGUACAUUUGAUUUGAGCCGCUAACGGGCUGAAGUACACAAUGAUGAAGUGCUAGCUGCUAUGUCGGCUCUCAAGACUGGUAAUUUAAAUGGGGUAGAGGUGGAGGUGGCGAGCAUUCCAUGGGCGGGGUAGUACUCGGCCAUCAGUGUCGCGGAGAUAGAAUGUAGCUGGUCCUGGGGCAUUAACUAUCUCGAGUGGGCCUUCCCACUUUGCUUUGAGUCGAGUGGGGUGGGGAAUGACUUCCUUCAUGACCCAAUCACCUAUUUUCAGGGGGCGGGGAACGACUUUCUUGUUGUAGUGUUGAGCAAUUUUCUGCUUGUUAUUGACAUUUCUGAGGUGUGUUUUGUCUCGGGGCUCUUCCAGGAGAUCCAUGUUGAGUCUUAAUCCCGUGACGUUCGUCUCGGGAUCGUAUGCCGUGACACGUUCGCUCAGGACCUCCAUUUCUACAAGAAUCACUGCCUCGGUGCCAUAGGACAAGAGGUAUGGAGAUUCACAUGUGGCCGUUGUUGGGGUGGUAUGAAGUGUCCAGAGGACUUCCGGGAGCUUGGCAGCUCACAACCCUUUGCCAUCUUCCAGGCGUUUCCUCAAGUUUAGUUUGAUGAGCUUGUUUAUCGCUUCCACCUGGCCAUUGGUCUGAGGGUGUGCUAGGGAGGCAUAAAAGAUUGCGGUUCCUUGCUUUGACAAGAAUUCCCUGAAUGUGUCGUUGUCAAAUUGUGUUCCAUUAUCUGUGAUGAUGGCGUGUGGUACCCCAAACCGGCAGUAUAAGUUACGCCAUAGGAAGUUUAUCACCUUUUCAGUUGUGAUUAUGGCAAGAGGUUCUGCCUCUAUCCACUUUGUGUUGUAAUCUACAAUGACUAUCACAAAUUUGAUGUCCUGGGGCUGUGGGUAGCCGUUCCACGAAAUCGAAUCCCCACUGACUGAGAGGGACUGGGGAGAUGAUGACAGACAAUGGAACUGGUGGGUGAUGAGCGAAAUUGGCGAAUUUGUGGCAUUGAAGGCAUGCUUGGACAACUGCUUUUGCAUCCUGCUCCAAUGUUGGCCAAUAAUACCCAGCUAUGAGUGCCUUGAACAUGAGGUUCCGAGCUCCCGCAUGGUUUCCACAAACACCACUAUGAAAUGAUUUCAACACUUUAUGCCCUUCCUCUAUGGGCAAGCACUUUAAAAAGGGACAUAACAAACCACGACAGUAUAGCUUACCGUCUCUGAGUAGGUAGAGUGAAGCCUUGUGGCGCAACCGUUGUGCUUCUCUUUUACCCUGGGGUAGGGUACCAUUAGAGAGGAAGGCCACAUAUGGGUCCAUCCAUGAGGGCUGGCUGGUUGUUUCGAGGGCAAAGAUUUCUGAAUAAGCUGUCGAGAUGCUAGGCUUGUCUAAGAUUUCUAUGUGCACAUCUGGUGGGGUGGACUCGGGAGGAGCCGUGGCGAGUCUCGGGAGGGCGAAUGCCUUGGAAUUCUUGGCCCUUGGGAUUUGUGUGAGUUUGUAAGAUGUGAAGUGUUGCAGGAGGGCUCCUGCUAGACUUUUAGACUUUUGUAGGAUCCCAGGUUAUUCUGGUUGGCCUUGAAGUCUCCUGCCACUUGAUUGACUACAAGCUGAGAGUCACUUGAUAUGUGAAUGUGCAGAGCUUCGAGUUCUUGACAUAGCUGAAUGCCUGCUAUAAGGGCCUCGUAUUCAGCUAUGUUGUUAGAUGCUUUGAACUCAAACCAGAGAGAGUACUCGUAUGAAUUUCCCUCUAGAUCUGUGAUGAUUAUUCCUGCCCCACUUAGCCUAUUGUUUGAGUGUAACAUCCCGAACCUAAUUUUACCCCUUUUACUGGGUAUUUUACGAGUUACUGAGGAAGUUAGCCAUGCUCGGUAAUUUGGCAAUUUAACACCCGAAUUUAUUGUCGAGUUUUUUUUAAAAUGUUAAAUUCUUCUAUUAAGGUUCCGAGGGUGUAGUGCGCGAUGACACGAGUUCUCCAUUAUCAUUGGAUUAUUUUUGGGAGCUUCGAACUAUUUUCUACGAUUUAUAAAAAUCUGGGUCGCUGAUCUUGAAUCAUCGAUCACCUGUUGUCCAUUUUUGUUGUUAAAUAGAGGAAGACUGGUCAGACCCAGUCAAAAUGCCCAAGUCGGGUUUGACCGAGCCCAACCGAAUCUCUCUCCUCUCCCCGACUCUCUCUGUGUCUGUUGUCGUCCCUCGCCGGAGCAGCGCCAUCCGGCCACCCCUUGGCGACUAGACUGCCACCAAGUAGUCCUCUCCUCCUUCCCGACCUAGCUCAACUCUCAAAUUCGGGAGGCAGCCAUUCUCGGCAGAGAUCGGAAGAGGAGGACAACAGCUGUUCUUCCCAAAUUUCGGUGAGUUCCGGCGACGAAUCAACAGACCAAGGUCAGAUUCUUAUUCUCCUUCCUCUCCUCUUCUUUUCUGGGUUUGUUUCAUCCCGAAUCGAGUUCUAAACUGCAAAGCCCUUUUCUGCCUUUUUCUAGGUUUCUGGUUCCUAGCUCCGACGACCUACGUUCACUGGAUUUUCGGUGAGCUCUUCAAUGUUUCGAUGGGUUUUGUGAGCUUUAUGUGAAGUCAGGAUGGACCUUGGAGCAGUUGCUAUUUGGUCCGGGCUGAGGCAGAGGUCGGGUGAGUUAGGACUGAGAGGAACCGAAGUGUGGGGUGUUGUUUUGGUGGAGUUUGCGACCGAGGCAGCAAAUAUAAAUGGUUGGAGGUUUCUGCAGGUUGGGAUCCGGCAGGAGAGCAGCUAGACUAGAGUUAUGGGAUUGACUGAAGGUAAACUCGAUCUCCUCUAGUAUUUUGGAGCUGCUGUGUUGUUGUUGUUGUUGUUAUUGUUGGUUGGUGUUUGAAUUAUUUAUUUUUUGCAUGAUUGUCGAUAACUUGGAGAUUGGAAGAUGCAGGGAGAUUAUGGUGAAUUUUCCAGCAAGUCGUCGGAAUCUGGCAAGAGAUUCCGGUGAGGGCAGAAUCAGGCAGAGACUAUUGAGGUAGUUAUCGACGUUUUUCCUUGCUGUUGUGUAUCGUUUCAGUAAUAGGAAAGUUGGUAGGUUGUAAUCGACAAUCUUUCUAAGUGAGGAAAGUUUCUAUUUUGGGAAACUUUCCCUUUUAGAAACUUUCUAUUUAGGGGAAACCUUUUUUGGGUGCCCUUAGUAAAUUGGUUGAUGUGUUAUAAAGGCAUGAAAAUUGUUUGUGACUUUGAUUACCGGCUAAGGUUUGGUUUGGGACCGAAGGAGUUAUAGUUGUGAAGUUAAUCGAAAUGAUUAUUAAUUUCUGUUGGUCAAAUGUGGGUCAAGUCUGGUCAAUUUCUGGUCAACCUAGGAGAUUCUAAUCGAACUGGGAAGACGUUGAAUAGUUAAUUUUUAUGGGGUCCGGUUUGACCGAUUUGUUCUUCUGUUUAUUAUCAGACGUGGGUUUUGGCUAUAGAGUGUGAAUAUUUGGAGGCAGGGCUCGAGGAGUAUUCUGAGCAUUGGAAGGCUUAGGCCUCAUACUGUGAGUGGGCUUUUGUUUUAAAUAAAAUGCAUGCUAUAGUUCAUAGAUGAACAAUUAAUGUUGUAGAGCAUUUUGACGUCAUUUUAUUUUGACAAUUUUAUUUCUCUUGGAGAGUCACCGAAAAUGGGAUUUUCGGUGGAUAUAAAUAUGUAUUUAUGAGAGAGUAUGUAUAUAAAUGCUAGCUAGCCCUAUGUGUCUGUCCACCUUAAUGGCGUAGCAUAUAGCCGCAUUAUGGUGUGACGUGAGCGUUGGACGCGAGCGUAGUUUCCCUAUAUGAGUGUUUAAUUCAUAUAGGGGGUAUGGGCACAUAUUUAUACACCCGUCUGUCCACCUUAAUGGCGUAGUGUAACACCGCAUUAAGGCGUGACGUGAGCGUUGGACGCGAGCGUAGUAGCCCUAUAUAGACCCAUGAAUUUAUAUAGGGAGUAUGGACGUGUGUAAAUACAUACAUAUAUUAUAAAGCCUGAGAGACUCGAUAUUUAUGAGAUAAAAGUUUUAUCGCUUGCAACAUGCAUUCGAUUUUCCUUGAAAAUUGAUUUGGGGAAACAUAUAUAUUUUAUUCGUUAAUUUAUUUUUGUCCACUCACUCUAACGUUUCGUUUUCAAAUGUUUUCCCCUGGGCUCUUCGUUUUAAAAAUGCCCAGUUUACAGGACUGCAUAGUUGAGGUCGAGCGUACAUGGAGAAGAGGCAUAGUCAAUAGUAUAGCUUCGGCUCAUUAUAUUUCUAGUUCAUCUCCUUUUAAAUAGAGUUGCUCUAAACUGUGGUUGUUGGUUAUGAGAUCAAAUUGUUAGAGUUAGUAAAUAAAUUGGGAGAUGUUGUGUUUUGGGGAGCACGAAGGCUCUAGGAGUUUAAGAUUGGAUUUGGAUUUUCAGAAGUGUAUGCAUGUAUUAUUAGAAAGGGUCGUCCAUUUUCAAGGGAGGUUAUGUCGAAUUUUUGGUAAACUUUCCUUGGAGGUGGUCCCCGCAGGAUUUACUUCGGGUUUCAGGGUGAAAUUCGGGUGGGUCCUGACAUUGAGGGUCCAUCAACAUGGAGUUCCCAGAUAGCGUCCCGGAACGGGGGGGGUCUUCAUUCAGGUUGUCGUGAUCCAGGGGAAUCAACUCAGCAAUGAAAUCUGCAGUUGCCUGCCCUUUUAUUGUUGUUCUUGCCACAAGGGGUGAUUGGUUAGGACAUGAAUUGUGUGAGCUUGGAAAUAUUGCCGAAGUUUUCGUGCUGCAGUGAUGAGAGCUAAAGCCAACUUCUCAAUGUCGAGGUAGCAAGUCUCAAGAUCAGCAAAACCUCUACCAUAGUAAUAUACUGAGAGCUCACUAUCAUGUUCAUGGCGCGUGAGAGUAGCGCUAAUGGCUGUGGCAGAGACAACCAAAUAUAAGUAUAGUACUUCACCCAGGAUAGGCUUUGAUAGGAGAGGAACUGCUGCGAGAUAAACUUUGAUGUUAUUGAAGGCAUCAUCAUGUUCCGUGUCAGGACCCACCCCGAAUUUCACCCGGAAACCCGAAGUAAAUCCUGCGGGGUCCACCUGAAAUGAAAAUUUACCGAAAAUUCGGCAUAAUCUACCUUGAAAAUGGACAACCCUUACCUGAAAAAUUCUAGAUAAACACUUCUAUAUCAACCAUCCAUCCUCAACUCCUGGAGCCUUCCUGCUCCCCAAGUAAAUCACGUCUCUCAAUAUAACAAUUUCUCAUCCAAAAUAAUUCCACAACCAACAACAGACAAUUAAUAAUUUACUACUGGACUUUCAGAGCAUAUAUAAAAAUGAACGAAAAACAAUGAAUAAAGAAUGAGCGGAAGCAGCCUCUGACUAUUCAUCGACUCCAUGUACGCUCGACCUCAAAUAACUUAGCCUACAAACUAGGCAUUUAAAAACCAAAUGGCCCAAGGGAAAGUAAUUUUAAAACGUUAGAGUGAGUAGACAAAAGUAAAUUAAAUAAUUUAACAAAACAUGAUUUAUAUACUUUCCCACAUUUCAAGUUUAAAACUUAGCUGCACGCAACUUUGAUAAUCCAAAUAACUUUAAAUCCAGAAUACCAUAAAAAUAGACAAACCAGAUACAGAAAUCUCAUAAGAAGAGAUAAACCAGCCCCGCUGGUUAAUCAAUUAUAUAACUGAGAAAAAAAUAAAAUAAGAGGAAGAGUUAUCACCAUGUAAGAGGAGCCUCUCAAGCUCGGGUCGGUUCCUCCCAAGCUAUAAUAGCGUCACACUAGCAAUAAAUAAUAAUAUCCGAUCGGUGCCUCCCAGGCUAUAGUAGCGUCGCACGCUAAGCGCUCGACUCACCUGUGGUGAGGACCGCUAAUAAUAAAGGCUAGUUAGUAAUGAAAUAUGAGCGACCCUAUAUUAUGGUGACUAAAAACAUACGAACUCACUUAAAUCCAUUAAACUUCCCAAAAUCAUACGAAUGGUACGGUUGGGAACCGUACCUGAAAAUUUUCAUAAGAAAUUAAAAUAAUACUCAUUGAUAUGUCUCACGUCAAUAUAUUCUCAAAUCGAUAAUCAAAAGCGAGAUUUAAUUAUCAAGUAUAAAUUGUAAUUAAUUUUUCAAUCCGAAAAUACUCGCUGAACAUAUUCUUAAUGUCAAGGUCGAUAAUCCACAAUUAAACAAGAAAGUUAUAAAUAGAGAAUUACCGAAAAUCCUAUUUUCGGAAAUCUUUAUAAAUUUCAAAGUCCACAAUAAAACAAUCAUAAUGAAAUCUGGAAUUUAUAGAAAAAAUAUCCAAACUCAAAUAUCAAAUUAAUAAUCCGAGCUCAAAUCCAUAAAUCAUGACCAACCAUUAAUCAAUGCUUCAAACUCAAAUAAUUUGCAAGAUCAUCUCAUAAGCCGAAAUUAUAAUAUAAGCUCGGAAAAUAAAAUGAUAAAUUAUAAAAUCUUGCAUGCAUAUUUAUUUAAAACCAAAAUGUCCACUCACAAAUUUAGGCAUAAGCCUGACGAUAUCCGAAUCGCCACUCAAGCGAGGUUCCCUUCGUAUCCUGGCACAAUAAUCAUGCUUAGAACCAAACUUCAAUUUCAGAAAAUAAAUACUUAAAUAUAAACACCAAAACUCUUCUGCUUAACUCACUACCCUUACUAGGGUUAAGCUCACCGGAUUCCCACCAAACUCCACCACAACCUUAAUUCAUCAAUUCUACCAUUCUAGAAUAAAUACCAAGGAAAUCCAACGGCCGGAUUUUCAUUUUAACAACCGCCAAAAUUCUCAAACUUAACCAAAACUCUUCUAAAAAUUCCAAACUUCACAUCAUUAAACUCCUCUCAUUAAAAAAAAACUCAAAAACAUGAAAAACUACCCCUAAGCGGCAGCGGCAGCGGCCGGCAGACAAACUCCGACGAUCUCCAAUGGCUACCAAAUUUUGACACAAUUUCCUCUCAACAUUCUAAACAACUUUCAUAACUACCACAAUAACCAAUUCCAAGCUUAAACAUGUCAAUCGAAUCAAAACACCAAAAAUCCCAAAUUCAAAAUCCUAGAAUUUCAAAACUUCAAAUCUCCUUACCUAUUGAGAUAGGUUGAAUCCUUUUGAGGGUUUGCUAGAGCUUCAAGACGAGACCGGCGGCUCCGAUUUUGGUGGCCGAAAAAGGAAGUUCCGGCAACAACACCUCCACGGCACAACCGCGACUUCAUGGCGGCGCGACACCACCGGCCAGCUACCUAGAUCGACGGAGGAUGGUUCAAGCUUCAUUUUAAUACCCACCUUGCCGCCUAACUCGGCCAGACGGCGGCAAACAGCGGUUGGAAAUUUGCGGGUCAGGAGAGAUGCGGGGAGAGGAGAGAGAAGGAGGAAGUAAUUUUUUCUGGUUUCUACCUUUUGACUUUCUACCUUAAAACCUUUUUAUACCCACAUUCCGAAAUAGUAAAUUUCGUUUUUAGACCAUAACUUCUUCAUACGAACUUCAUUUUAAGCGUGUCGCGUGUCCACGAACUCUGUUUAACGUCCUCUAUGACUUUCAUGAAGAAAGUUUUCCCAAAUUUUAGACGAAGGAAAAAGUCAACUUUUGGAGCCUUAAAUAGUAAACGGUUACUCAAAACGGUAAAAGGUCAAAGUAACCCAAAAGUAAAUAACCGUAAAUUGACUUAAGAAUCGGGAUGUGACAAUUCUCCCCUCCUUAAAAAAAUUUCAUCCUCGAAAUUUCAAAUCAUAAAAGGGGGGUGAAGGUUAUUGCCUUUCACCUUAGACUCCAAUAAACGCUAAGCUAAAUCAUCCCACCAUCAAUGCUCUUCAAACUUUCUUCUAUCACAAAUUACACCUUUUCACUUGUGGAAACAAUUAAAUUCUUUUCCACUUACAUUGGCACAUCAUAACGGAUCCGGAUCUGGAUCCGGAUCCUCUCCUAAUAAGCUUCUCCUAAUAUUUCCUAAUAAGAUGAUCUCAGUCGUCCAAUUUUAACCAACGGCCAAAAUGCUCCUACUCUACUCAAAAGCUAUUUUCUCUCUAGAAAUCAAUUUUUGGCCAUCUCUCCAAACCCAGAACGAAGACGGCUUCCUUCUAGAGUUCCUGAUUUGGACGAAAGCUACCCUCAAUGGGUGAAGCAGUAGAAAAUUAAGGCUCCCCAAAAAAAAUCAUCCUUCAUUAAUCCUCAUGAAUGAUUGAAUUGAAAAGUUUUGAUUUGUAUUUGGGUGUUCAUGAGGUUGAAAAAAUAGAGCAGAAUCUUGAUCUUGUUCAUUAAUGGAGUAUCAGUAAAUCUCAUACUUCUCUACAAAUCAUGGAUUUCACUACCCAAAUCCGAAGCCAAUCCCUUCACCAAGCUUAAGUGAAUUGCGAGAGUGGCAUUGGGUUUAUUUUUCUGGGUUAACAUCCAAAUUUUCGUUUGUGAACUUGUGGGUUGGAUUUGUCCUUUAUGAAUCCUAACUUUUUUUUUUUUUUUUGGGUUGUAAAUCGUUGUUAUGGAUAUUGACAUUAGAAGUUUGAUUAACUUGAGAAGUCCAGGGAAAGAGAUAGAUGUUGUGAAGGACUCUCGUUAUGAGCUCAGGAAGAGUGAGAAAGAUGGCUUUUGAGUAGGGUAGGAGCAUCUUGGCCCUUGGUUAAAAUUGAACAGCCGAUCGUCUUAUUAAGGAAAUAUUAGGAGAGGCUUAUUAGGAGAGGAUCCGGAUCCCAUCAUAACUUAUCUAUCAAACCCCAGGUGUGAGCAUAUGCUUUAACAAAUCUCAAACUCAGGAUCAACUGAAAUACUCCGACAACGUUCCACAUGACACCACUCACAUAAUACACUCUGCUCCUUGACUUACCUUCCACUAAUUGAAUGGCUUGCCCAAUUAUAAUUACUUAUGAUACACAACCCUAAAUCACAGGAACGACUUUGACUUUCGCCAAGUCAAAACGGUCAAUAAACUUUGUAAUUUACAACACCAACUUACUUUCGUCACCAAUUAAUCAAAAUAAAACUCAAUCGUUCGCAUCAAAUAGGACUUUCACCACCUAUAUGAUUGGCCUCAUGUCACACCCCGGUCCCGGAGUCGGCGGGUUUUAAGCACCGGACGUUGUUUUCGAAGCGUGAACGAGUGUUACAAAGCGGAAUAAAACAAAACCACUAUCUUCUAAGCUCGUCGGCUACCCUUUUUCCUAGCUUGGUCAAAUCUAAGGACUUCUUUGCAAAAAAAUAUUAGAGAUGGGUGGGUGAGCAUAACCACGCGCUCAGUGAGUAGACCAAUGUAAUAUGCCGCAAAGCCAUGUCAUUUUACACACGCUAUAAAAUACGUAUAUCGUAUACACAUCACUUCAAGCAAUUCAUCACAUCACACAAUCCCUUCUUAUUGGAUAUCCUUCAAUUUAAUGAUUCCCACGGGAACCUAAUGACCUUCGUGUCAUAUACCUCUGUGUGUCAUAUCCUUAUUUCGGCAUAACCAAUCAAGAAGUUCACAUGUUUCAUGACUAGUCAAACAAUGGAUCCAACACAUACAUAUAUAUAAACUCCACAUAUUUGUAAAUAGACAUGCUUUACUCGAAAAUAGAGAGAUAUUUCGAAACCCACCACGAAUACCAAUCGUAAACCGAGCCACCUAAAACGAGCCAUCUAGGAAUCACCGUUGGAUCUACCUCAAACUUCUAGGAUAGGAAGAGGUCAUCAAGACGAACCCGUAGCACUUCGCGGAUUCAGAAUCGGAGUUACGGAUCAAAAGUUCUGAUCCGCUGAAGUUUUAGUUGUAGCUCUAGAGAGAGAAAAUGUGUAGAGAGAUAGAGUAAAGAGAAGCUGAACGAUCAGCUUAUAUAUAGGCUGAGUUAACCGACAUGAAAGAGUCGGUUGGAAUGGUUGGCCAAUCGCAGGGCGCCACUUGUCAAAAUGCAAGACUCCUCUUCUUUAUGCAACACAUAUGUGCCACAUGGCACUCUCUGAUUUGUCCAUUUCAUGGUCACAUGACACAUGUGAUGCAGCUAGAACAAGCUCUCCACUUGCAACGUGGGUCAGCUGGGCUGACUUAGUCUCUAAGUAAAAGAAAAAGGCCAAUGGAAAUGAGCCACGUUAUUAUCUCCGAUAAGUUUCGACGGAAUUUUUGAAAAAUCUUUAAAAAUAGCUUGGGAGCCUGAAAAAUACACUGAAAAAUACGGCGAACUCGUGACGACCUUUAUUUUCUAUUUCUAAGAAGAAAAUAAUUUUUAAGAAAUUUUAAAAAUCAAGAUGUUACACCUCAAUCGUUAUGCUAAUCGGCGAUUAUCUCCCUUGUCGUAAUUUAUCGCCAAAUUACGCUAAGUAUGCUGGAACAAAACCUUAACAAGAAACGAUAUCAUAAAGCCUUGCUCGAAACUAGUAAUUGACAAUUUACUUGCCCUAAUUAAAAGAUAUAUAUACUCAAUUUGACAUGUCGAGAGCAAGUUGAUCAAAACAACCAUUCGUUUCUUUUCUAACUUCUCACUCAAAAUAGUUAUUAAUUACCCACAUUUUUUAUUCGGCCGACUUCUUAAGGAUAAUAAGCCAGUAACAUGACCCUCCAAUAAAGAAAUCAGAUUCUCCAAUUAAACAAAUUCAAUUGUCUCUUGUAAUACCCAAUUCUUAUUUAUCAAAGCAACAUUUCGUCUCUAGUAUCAUUCACAUAAUCAUGACUCAAGUGGCACAUCCAAAUUAGCCUAGUCUAUUGUCAAACCAAGUUUCUAACGAAAGUCACAAUAAACACUCCAGUAUUGUCAACCAAAGUUCAUUUCCCACACAAUGAGAUACCACAAAAUCAGCUACACAUUUUAAUCUCAGCUAUAUAUAUAUACAUAUAUUCCAAAUGCCCAUGACCUUACCAUUCUUCUUAUCCCAUUGGCCAAACAGGCUGCUGCUCAUUCCUCACCACCAUGACUUAAUAUACCUAAUAGCAGCAACAACCACUAUUCACUACUACAAAAAUAACAUCAGACCACGGCCAAAAAACGUCGUCUGAUUGUUCAAGCUACCGUUGUUUUUUGCGUGGCGUCUGAUGCAUCGUAGAAACGUCGUCUGAUUACUGUCGACAUAUUAUUUGUCAAUGACAUACUCUCGCACCACGUUUACUCUGAGUAACAGUUGUGUGAUUGUUAGUCAUACAAUGUUUGUUAUUAGAACUAUUAUCUGUUAUAGAUUCAGAAGUCGGUUUUAAUAGAAUUUUUCGGUUUGAUUUCUUUCCAAUUAUAUAUAUAUAUAUGUAUAUAUAUAUUAUUAUUUAUUUUGCUAUUAUCCAGUUUUAUAUUUAGAAAAAAUAUAAUUUAAAUAAAAAUAAAUAUUCAAUACACAUUAAUUUCAAUCCCAUUAUAUGUACACAUAAGGUGAUGGCCUAUAAAAUAUAUCCUCUUUUUUUUCGUCAAACAAGUAACAUUUCCCAAAUAUUCAUACAAAAAUUUAGUGCAUUUGUUCAUUCCAAGCAUCAAAACUAAAUCUCUUUCAUCUAACACUGCCUUAGAAACUAUAUGCAGUCCUUUUGAUGUCAUGUCUUCAGCCCUUGACAUCUUUUGGUUCUUUGACAUGUUUGAGUAGGCUAGGAAUAUCAAUUCAUUGGCUGUUCUUAUAGCUCCAUUGUCUGUUUCAGUAACCAAGAAAGAGAACUUAUAUUAGACAAAGUGGUAGGAGAGCGUUUUGUUCACCAAUGCCCAGCAUACUUGCAUUAAAUCAAAACUCACUGCACAAAGUAAACACUAAGGCCACAAAUGACAUCAAACAUAGCAAAUGACACGUACUAAUAUCUAAGAGUGUAAGAGAAAUAGAUUACCACAUAGUACUUCAAGCAUGGAGAAAUGGUUCUGCAUAGAAGCUGCAUGUAACACAUAAGAACACCAGAAAAUAAACAUUAUUGGCAAUGAAAACAAAAGGCCACAAACUUAAGAGAAAGGUAGAUAGCAAAUGAUAGGGCAGUAGGAAAUUCACAUUAAUUAGUUACCUGAGAAGCCUAAUGCUCUAUAACACUACCAAGGUUCCACUUUAUUUAGCAAUUAACUUGGACAAGUAGAUAAAUGGCAGAGAGGUUAAGGCCACCUCAGCAUUGCAGAAAAUGUACAGAGGAUCCAUUACUUGAAGCUACUAAUGACCAUACUUCAGAAACUCCCACUCAUUGUAAUCUGGAAUGGGAAGACAAACCAUUGAAGCUCUUUUCUUCUUCGUGGUUUAUUUCUGUACUAAUUCAAACUAUAAUUGAAUCUCAUUGAUCACAUCCAUUGGACCAAGCAAACAUACAGUAAUAAGCAGCAACCAAUAGUUACACUAUAUACUAAAUCCGCUUGUGUAAUUUCAAAUUUCAGCUCUAUCUCUAUAUAUUUGGCAAAUAAAUGACAGAGAAAGGUAAAAUGCAAUGUUUGAAGAUUUUAUGUACAAUGAGCAAAGAAUUAUUAAAUAUCUCAGGAAGCCAAAAAAAAUGCUGCAAUAAAAAGAAGGCCUGUAAUGUUGCAAUGAAUAAAGGACGUGCAAUUGUCUAUUCUCGGGAAGCAAAAUGCAAUGUUGCAACCAAAGUACUUAGUAAUUCUUUGCAGAAUGUAUUCCUGCACAAAAGAAACACAUGCAUACAGAGCAUAUCAGUCCAUACCACCUAAGAAUAAAUAAAUUUUUUGCCGGAAAUUUAAUCAUCUUCAAUCAAAUUCGGAUUUUAUAAUCAGUCUUUUAUGACUAUGAAUGGGCUAUUGCUAUUUGAAGUUGCACAACAUGAAAGUGAACAAUAAACACAGUUAACAAAAGUGAACUCAAAACAUGUACACAUACCCAUUCACAAUUGGCUGUAAUCCUGUAAAUCAUAUUACACUUCUUUUGAGUUGUUUUCACUUUGAAAAAAGGUCUUUGGUUUACCUAAAGCUAACGGUGUUUGUAAUCCAUUUGACUAUAUAGCAAAGAAUACUCAUAUCAGAAUUAAUGAUAAGAGGGAAAAGAUCAGACCUUCAUGUAUAGAACUUCAAUUUCUGUCAUAUGAAUAUCCCAGCCAGGUUGUCUGCCUGAGAUAGUAAUAGAACAAAAAAUACAGCUAGUUUUCAAUUAAAUAUGUAGUUAUGUAUGUAGAUAAUGGUAAUAAUAACAAUAAUAACAAAAAAGGGAGAACAUCAAGAUUGGAGCAUACACUGACACGCAGAAAAAAUGAAGAACUUGUCAUGAAGAACAACUAUCCAUCAAAAAGCAGUAACCCAGAAAACCCAAAAAAGAACUACAAUCCUUCUAACACAAAACCUAGAAAGCCUUACUACCCAAAACCCAGCAACAGAUCUAGUGAAACCCUAAAACUCGAAUACCCAAAACCCAAAUCCCAAAUCCCAAAACCCAGCAAUUUUGAUUCCAACAAUUACCUUGAGAGAAAUAAUCGUCAGAAAAUCAAAGCUCCAAAUCGUAUUGUUGUUGUCUCAUUCAUUGUCACCUGCAUCAAAAUCGAAUCGAAAUCGAAAUCGAAAUCGAAAUCGAUUUAUGAGAGAGGUUACGGCUAGGACUUACCGGGCUCGAGACGAAUCUAAAGAGAGGCUUGGGCUAGGUCAGGCAAUGCCGACAGCUUCCUCGUCGUCUCCGUUGAGGUAGACGAGGCUGAGAGAGAUGUGGGUUGAGAGAGAGAGAGAGAGAGAUGUGGUUUUAGGUUUUGGGUUGAGUCACUUGAGUGUGUGUGUUUUUGGUUGAAUGUGUCGAGAGCUGUCGAGGCUUUGCGAGUGUGUUUAUGUUGAGACUUGAGAAUGCAAUAAUAAGGUUUGGGUUUUUGAAGACAUUCAUUUCGACAGCCAAUCACACAACGAAAAAAUUAUAAAUAUGGUCUGAUGCCCGAAAUUUUAAGUUUUGACAUUCCCUCCAUCAAGUUUGAUGUUCCCUCCUACAAGUUUGGGGAUUAAUUUUGGAGAUUGUUGGAGAGAAAUUGUCAAGACCCAUCCCGAAUUUUACCCUUAAACCCGGAGUAAAUCCUGCAGGAACCACCUCCAAGGAAGAUAGUACCGAAAAAUUUGGCAUAACCUUCUUUUAAAAUGGACAACCUUUCCUAAAGAAAACCUGCAAACACUCCCAAAAUUUUCAAUCAAACCUUAACUUUUGGAGCCUACGUGCUCCCCAAAUACAACCACCACAAAAAAUAAUAAUAAAACAUCUUCCAAAUCAACACAACCUCAACAUAAAUAUCCAACUAAUAAAAUACGACAUCUUUAGAAUAUUCCAAAAUAUUAAACAAUGCCUUAGCACACAACCAAACUAAUAACAUUAUCCUUCAGGUAAUCAGAGCUGCUAACUAGAGGAAGUAAGAAAAUGUUGGUAGGUUAAACAAGUAACCUACUAAUGAAAAAUUGUGGAAAUAUGGGUGACUAUGCCUCGCCUCCUACUAGUUUCAACCCGAACUCUGCAGACUGAGCAUUUUAAAACAAAGGGCUCAGGGGAAGACAUUUGAAACCGUUAGAGUGAGUGGACAAAAAUAAAUUAAUAAAUAUUUAUGCAUUCCCAAUUUGAAUUUCAUAGAAAAAUAUACUGCAUGCGGUAGCUCAAAAGUUCUCAACUCAACGAUUGGCAAUUUCAUGACUAGCUCCGGCUAGUCUCCAAACUUAACAAAAAUAAAGCCUCUCAAGCUAAAUUAUAUAUAAAUAUAUAUAUAUAUGUAUGUAUUUAUACUCGUCAUACUCCUUGUACGAAUUCUAUGAAGGAAUAAGCAAAAAUAGAAAUUCAUACAAACGCUCUUGCGUCUAACGCUCACGUCACACCAUAAUGGAAUUUUUCCUCAUUAUGGCGGAAAAGCACGAGUGUAUAUACGUGUGGACUCCCUAUAUGAAAACCUAUAUGAACCAGAAAAGAAAGUAGUUUUCAUAUAGGGCUACUACGCUUGUGUCUAACACUCACGUCACGCAAUAAUGGAAUUUUACCUCAUUAUGACGGAUCAAGCACGUAUGGCUAGCUAGCAUUUAUAUAUACAUAUUAUCCUCAUAAACAUCCAAUAAACAUAUCCUCCGAAAAUCUCAUUUUCGGGAAACUCUCCAAAGGAGGAAAAUUGCCAAAAAUCCAAGGAAGAAAUAAAUCUCAGCAAAAGAAAUAAAUGAUCAACAAAAUAAUUCAUCGCAUACUUUUCAAUUAAAAUAAAGGUCCACUCACAAAUUACUGUCAGGACCCACCCCGAAUUUCACCCUGAAACCCGAAGUAAAUCCUACGGGGACCACCUCUAAGGAAAGUUUACCGAAAAAUCGGCAUAACCUCCCUUAAAAAUGGACAACCCUUUCUAAUAAAACUUGCAUACACUUCUGAUAAACCAAUUCCAACCUUAAACUCCUGGAGCCUUCGUGCUCCCCAAAUCACAACAUCUCCCAAUUUAUUUACUAACUCUAACAAUUUAAUCUCAUAAUCAACAACCACAGUUCAGAGCAACUCUAUUUGAAAGGAGAUAAACUAGAAAUAUAAUGAGCGGAAGCUAUACUAUUGACUAUGCCGCUUCUCUAUGUACGUCCGACCCCAACUAGGCUAACCUGCACACUAGGCAUUUUUAAAACGAAGAGCCCAGGGGAAAACAUUUGAGACCGUUAGAGUGAGUGGACAAAAAUAAAAUUAAGGAAUAAAAUAUUUAUGUUUCCCCAAAUCAAUUUCCAAGGAAAAUCGAAUGCAUGCUGCAAGCGGUAAAACUUUUAUCUCAUAAAUAUCAAGCCUCUCAGGCUCUAUAAUAUAUGUAUAUAUUUACACACGUCCAUACUCCCUAUAUAAAUUCAUAGGUUUAUAUAGGGCUACUAUGCUAGUGUCCAACGCUCAUGUCACACCUUAAUGCAGUGCUACACUACGCCAUUAAGGGGGACAGACGGGUGUAUAAAUAUGUGUCUAUACCCCCUAUAUGAAUUAAACACUCAUAUAGGGCUACUACGCUCACGUCCAACGCUCACGUCACACCAUAAUGCGGCUAUAUGCUACACCAUUAAGGUGGACAGACACAUAGGGCUAGCUAGCUUUUAUAUACAUACUCUCUCAUAAAUACAUAUUUAUAUCCACCGAAAAUCCCAUUUUCGGUAACUCUCCAAGAGAAAUAAAAAUCGUCAAAAUUAAAAUGACGUCAAAAUGUUCUACAACAUUAAUUGUUCAUACAUGAACUAUAGCAUGCAUAUUAUUUAAAAUAAAAGUCCACUCACAGUACUAAGCCUAAGCCUUCCAAUGCCCGGAAUACUCCUCGAGCGCUGCCUCCAACUACUCACAAUCUAGAGUCAAUCCCACGUCUAAUGAUAAACAGCAGAGUAAAUCGAUCAAACCGGAUUCCGAAAUAAUCAUUGACUCGACUUCUUCCUAGCUUGAUUAAAAUUCCCUAGGUUGACCAAGAUUGACCAAUUGAUUUAAAUGUUAUUUUUUU
rnacentral:lncRNA from 1 species